rnacentral:lncRNA from 1 species
UAUCUUUGCACCCAAUAUGUCUUUGGAGUUCCAAGAAUUGAAUCUUAGCAUGAAUGGCUUCAAUGUGUACCAAAUGUUCUCUUGUUCCUCCCAAAUUAAUUACUGGUUGCAUUCUUAGUUGCUUUGACAUUCUUGGUUAAUGCAAUGUCUUGCCUACCAAUAUAUGCAUCCACACACGAUCAUAUUUAUAUGACCACUUACCUCUGUAUUCUGGUAUUUGUGCUUCAGAAUUUUUCUCUCAUUCAGUUUAUUCAUAGAUUAAAAACGUCGAUCGUUUCUUUAUUGGUUUGCAUUAUCUUGUUUGCCGAACGUAAGCAUCCACAGAUGCUCGUCAUGAUAUGAUUGGUCAUCAUUGUAUAUUUGUAUUUGUGUGUUGAUAGCUUAAGGAUUUUCUCGGAUUCACUUCAUAGUUUAAGGAUUUUCUCGCGUUCAAUUUAUUCUACCUUAUUCAUUUUCAUGUUUCUUUAUUGCAUUUAUAUCAAUUCUUACAAUAUAUUUUCCAAGAUAUGAACUCAACUACUAAUUAUGUAGUUUUUCAUCAAAAUUUACAUGUAAAAAUGGUACAAAUGCAUAAACAUGAUAAAAAUAUAUAUCAUAUUCCAUUGAGAGAUCGCCCAUUUAAAAAAACACGUUGACUUACAAAAAGGACAAUUCAAGCUGCAUGUACGUCCGACUCAUGUUUACCUGACAAUGUCGAUGUUGAUUUCAGCAGUAAAUGAGCUGUGUGUGACCUUUGCGCUUUCCGGUAUUCUUCUAUCCUGUGUGCUUUAUGAUCAAUUUGUUGUGCUUAGUACUGGACACUGGAGUAUACUAUCAUAUUUGGUACAAAUAAAUCUGAACUACUAUAGUUAUGAUCCACUGUAUAGUUAAUGUGGUGGUAAUUAAUAUAUGUGAUUAAAUACUUGCGCUCCUUAGGUGGGGAGUUGGAUUUGUAUUUCCCUAAAAUAAAUUUCAGAUUUCGUAAUAGUGGUGAAGCCAGCCGGAAGAACCUCUACGUCAUUAUUAAUUUUGGUGAUAUUUUUCUUCAUAGUGUAGAAUAAUUUUAGUGCUUAUUCCGCAAAAAAUAUGGCCUCAACUGACCCCAUAGCUUGUAUGUUGCGCCACCACUGUUUCCUAUAUCUUAUUACAUCCGUUGUUUUUAGAUCUUGAUGCAUAACUUUGACAAUUUUUAAUAGAUAUGUGUCUGUAUAAAAAUUAUAAAUGCUAUGAUAAUUUGAUUAAUUAUGAUGAAUAAAAUGUUAUUGCUCUGACUUGAUCCCUCUAGAAUUUUCCAAAAUUUCACAUUACAGUUGUAGUAGUGCAUGCUACCUCUUGAGCAUUGCGUUAGUUUUCCCUUGAAGAGGAAAGGGUGAUGCAGUAAAGCAGCGUCAGUAUUUCCCUCAGUUUUUGAGAAGCAAGGUAUCAAUCCAGUAGGAGGCCACGCACGAGUCCCUCGCACCUACACAAACAAAUAAAAUCCUCGCAACCAACGCAAUAAAGGGGUUGUCAAUCCCUUCACGGUCACUUACGAAAGUGAGAUCUGAUAGAUUUGAUAAGAUAAUAUUUUUGGUAUUUUUAUGAUAAAGAUGCAACGUAAAGAAAGCAAAAUAAAAACAGCGCUAGAAAUAGCUUGUUGACGGGAGAUUAAAUAUGAUGGAAAAUAGACCGGGGGGCCGUAGGUUUCACUAGUGGCUUCUCUCGAGAGCAUAAGUAUUUCGGUGGGUAGACAAAUUACUGUUGAGCAAUUGACAGAAUUGAGCAUAGUUAUGAGAAUAUCAAGGUAUGAUCAUGUAUAUAGGCAUCACGUCCGAGGCAAGUAGCCCGACUCCUGCCUGCAUCUACUACUAUUACUCCACACAUCGACCGCUAUCCAGCAUGCAUCUAGAGUAUUAAGUUCAAAAGAACAGAGUAACGCUUUAAGUAAGAUGACAUGAUGUAGAGGGAUAAACUCAUGCAGUAUGAUAUAAACCCCAUCUUGUUAUGCUCGAUGGCAACAAUACAAUACGUGCCUUGCUGCCCCUACUGUCACUGGGAAAGGACACCGCAAGAUUGAACCCAAAGCUAAGCACUUCUCCCAUCGCAAGAAAGAUCAAUCUAGUAGGCCAAACCAAACUGAUAAUUUGAAGAGACUUGCAAAGAUAACCAAUCAUACAUAAAAGAAUUCAGACAAGAUUCAAAUAUUGUUCAUAGAUAAACUUGAUCAUAAACCCACAAUUCAUCGGUCUCAACAAACACACCGCAAAAGAAGAUUACAUCGAAUAGAUCUCCACAAGAGAGGGGGAGAACAUUGUAUUGAGAUCCAAAAAGAGAGAAGAAGCCAUCUAGCUAAUAACUAUGGACCCGAAGGUCUGAGGUAAACUACUCACACAUCAUCGGAGAGGCUAUGGUGUUGAUGUAGAAGCCCUCCAUGAUCGAUGCCCCCUCCGGCGGAGCUCCGGAAAAGGCCCCAAGAUGGGAUCUCAUGGGUACAGAAGGUUGCGGCGAUGGAAUUAGGUUUUUGGCUCCGUAUCUGGUAGUUUUGGGGGUACGUAGGUAUAUAUAGGAGGAAGAAGUACGUCGGUGGAGCAACGUGGGCCCCACGAGGGCGCGCCCCCUACCUCAUGCCUUCCUGGUAGAUUUCUUGACGUAGGGUCCAAGUCCUCUAGAUCACGUUCGUUCCCAAAAUCACGUUUCCGAAGGUUUCAUUCCGUUUGGACUCCGUUUGAUAUUCUUUUUCUGUGAAACUCUGAACUAGGCAAAAAACAGCAAUUCUGGGGUGGGCCUCCGGUUAAUAGGUUAGUCCCAAAAAUAAUAUAAAAGUGUAUAAUAAAGCCCAUUAAUGUCUAAAACAGAAUAUAAUAACGUUGGAGACGUAUCAAGCAUCUCCAAGCUUAAUUCCUGCUCGUCCUCGAGUAGGUAAAUGAUAAAAACAGAAUUUUUAAUGUGGAAUGCUACUUGGCAUAAUUUGAAUGUAAUUCUCUUAAUUGUGGUAUGAAUAUUUAGACCCGAAAGAUUCAAGACAAAAGUUUAAUAUUGACAUAAAAAUAAUAAUACUUCAAGCAUACUAACUAAGCAAUUAUGUCUUCUCAAAAUAACAUGGCCAAAGAAAGUUAUCCCUACAAAAUCAUAUAGUCUAGCUAUGCUCUAUCUUCACCACACAAAGUAUUUAAAUUAUGCACAACCCCGAUGACAAGCCAAGCAAUUGUUUCAUACUUUUGAUGUUCUCAAACUUUUUCAAUCUUCACGCAAUACAUGAGCAUGAGCCAUGGACAUAGCACUAUAUGUGGAAUAGAAUGGUGGUUGUGGAGAAGACAAAAAAGGAGAAGAUAGUCUCACAUCAACUAGGCGUAUCAACGGGCUAUGGAGAUGCCCAUUAAUAGAUAUCAAUGUGAGUGAGUAGGAAUUGCCAUGCAACAGAUGCACUAGAGCUAUAAGUAUAUGAAAGCUCAACAAAAGGAACUAAGUGGGUGUGCAUCCAACUCACUUGCUCAUGAAGACCUAGGGCAUUUUGAGGAAGCCCAUCAUUGGAAUAUACAAGCCAAGUUCUAUAAUGAAAAUUUCCCACUAGUACAUGAAAGUGAUAUCAUAGGAGACUCUCUAUCAUGAAGAUCAUGGUGCUACUUUGAAGAACAAGUGUGGUAAAACGAUAGUAACAUUGUCCCUUCUCUCUUUUUCUCUCUUUUUUAUUUGGGUCUUUUAUCCUUUUUUUAUGGCCUCUUUUUUUUUAGUCCGAAGACUCAUCACGACUUGUGGGGGAAUCAUAGUCUCCAUCAUCCUUUCCUCACUUGGGACAAUGCUCUAAAAAAAUGAUGAUCAUCACACUUUUAUUUACUUACAACUCAACAAUUACAACUCAAUACUUAGAACAAAAUAUGACUCUAUGUGAAUGCCUCCGACGGUAUAUCGUGAUAUGCAAUGAAUCAAGAGUGACAUGUAUGAAAGAAUUAUGAACGGUGGCUUUGCCACAAAUACAAUGUCAACUACAUGGUCAUGGAAAGCAAUAUGACAAUGAUGGAGUGUGUCAUAAUAAACUGAACGGUGGUAAGUUGCAUGGCAAUAUAUCUCGGAAUGGCUAUGGAAAUGCCACGGUAGGUAGGUAUGGUGGCUGUUUUGAGGAAGGUAUAUGGUGGGUGUAUGAUACCGGCGAAAAGUGCGCGGUAUUAGAGAGGCUAGCAAUGGUGGAAGGAAGAAAGUGCGUAUAAUCCAUGGACUCAACAUUAGCCAUAAAGAACUCAUAUACUUAUUGCAAAAAUCUACAAGUUAUCGAAGCAAAGUAUUACCCGCAUCAUUCUAGGGGGAUAGAUUGGUAGGAAAAGACAAUCACUCGUCCCCGACCGCCACUCAUAAGGAAGACAAUCAAUAAAUAAAUCAUGCUCCGACUUCAUCACAUAACGGUUCACCAUACGUGCAUGCUAAGGGAAUCACAAACUUUAACACAAGUAUUUCACAAAUUCAAAACUACUCAACUAGCAUGACUCUAAUAUCACCAUCUCCAUAUCUCAAAACAAUUAUCAAGUAUCAAACUUCUCAUAGUAUUCAACACACUCAUAAGAUUUUUUUACUAAUCUUGAGUGCCUAUCAUAAUUAAAGCAAAUUACCACGCUGUUUUGUAGGACUAUCAAAAUAAUCUAAGUGAAUCAUGAGAGAACAAUAGUUUCUAUAAAACAAAACCACCACCGUGCUCUAAAAGAUAUACGUGAAGCACUAGAGCAAAAACUAUAUAGCUCAAAGGAUAUAAGUGAAGCACAUAGAGUAUUCUAACAAUUUCUGAAUCAUGUGUGUCUCUCUCAAAAGGUGUGUACUGCAAGGAUUAUUGUGGCAAACUAACAAAUAAAGACUUCAAAUAAUACAAGACGCUCCAAGCAAAACACAUAUCAUGUGGUGAAUAAAAAUAUAGCUCCAAGUAAAGUUACCGAUGGAAGUAGACGAAAGAGGGGAUGCCUUCCGGGGCAUCCCCAAGCUUUGGGUUUUAGGUGUCCUUAGAUUAUCUUGGUGUGCCAUGGGCAUCCCCAAGCAUAGGCUCUUGCCACUCCUUGUUUCAUAAUCCAUCAAAUCUUUCACCCAAAACUUGAAAACUUCACAACACAAAACUCAGCAGAAAAUCUCGUGAGCUCCGUUAGCAAAAAACAAAACACCACUUCAAGGUACUGUAAUGAACUCAUUCUUUAUUUAUGUUGGUGUUAAACCUACUGUAUUCCAACUUCUGUAUGGUUUAUAAACUAUUUUACUAGCCAUAGAUUCAUCAAAAUAAGCAAACAACACACGAAAAACAGAAUCUGUCAAAAACAGAACAGUCUGUAGUAAUCUGUAACUAACGCAAUUUUCUGGGACUCCAAAAAUUGACCCAAAAUAGGAAGACCUAGACAAUUUUUUUAUUGAUCAGCAGCAAUUGGAAUUAAUAUUUUAUCACGUCCUGGUGAUUUUUAACAAUUAUUUUCGUGAACAGAAAGUUUCUGGAAUUUUCAGCAAGAUCAAAUAACUAUCAUCCAAGAAGAUCCUAUAGGUUAAACUUGGCACAAACACUAAUUAAAACAUAAAAACACAUGUAACCAGAGGCUAGAUCAAAUAUUUAUUCCUAAACAAAAGAAAAAAUCAUAAAAACUAAAAAUAAAAUUGGGUUGCCUACCAACAAGCGCUAUCGUUUAACGCCCCUAGCUAGGCAUAAUAGCAAUGAUAGAUCUAGGUAUUGCCAUCUUUGGUAGGCAAUCCAUAAGUGGCUCUCAUAAUAGAUUCAUAAGGUAAUUUUAUUUUCUUUCUAGGGAAGUGUUCCAUGCCUUUCCUUAAUGGAAAUUGGAAUCUAAUAUUCCCUUCCUUCGUAUCAAUAAUUGCACCAAUCGUUCUAAGGAAAGGUCUACCAAGAAUAAUAGGACAUGAAGGAUUGCAAUCUAUAUCAAGAACAAUAAAAUAUAUGGGCACAUAAUUCCUAUUUGCAACAAUAAGAACAUCAUCAAUUCUUCCCAUAGAUUUCUUAAUGGUGGAAUCCGCAAGGUGCAAGUUUAAAGAGCAAUCAUCAAAAUCACGGAAACCUAGCAAAUCGCACAAAAUCUUUGCAAUCGUGGAAACACUAGCACCCAAAUCACACAAAGCAUAGCAUUCAUGAUCUUUAAUUUUAAUUUUAAUAGUAGGUUCCCACUCAUCAUAAAGUUUUCUAGGGAUAGAAACUUCCAACUCAAGUUUUUCUUCAUAAGAUUGCAUCAAAGCAUCAACGAUAUGUUUAGUAAGGCUUUAUUUUGACUAUAAGCAUGUGGAGAAUUUAGCACGGAUUGCAACAAGGAAAUACAAUCUAUCAAAGAGCAAUUAUCAUAAUUAAAUUCCUAGAAAUCCAAAAUAGUGGGUUCAUUAAUAUCUAGAGUUUUGAUUUCUUCAAUCCCACUUUUACCAUUUUUUGCAUCAAGAUCUAAAAACUCCGAAUUUUUGGAACGCCUUCUAGGUAGAGGUGGAUCAUAUUCAGUCCCAUCAUUAUCAAGAUUCAUAUUGCAAAACAAAGAUUUAAUAGGGGACACAUCAAUAACUUUUAGAUCUUCAUCUUUAUUUUCAUAGAAACUAGAAGAACACGCUUUCACAAAACAAUCUUUCUUAGCACGCAUCCUAGCGGUUCUUUCUUUGCACUCAUCAAUGGAAAUUCUCAUGGCCUUGAGAGACUCAUUGAUAUCAUGCUUAGGAGAAAUUGUAUCAGCGUUCCUAGCCAAUUCAUCAAAUUUAAGCAAUUUUUCUUCAAGCAAAGCAUUGAAAUUGUUUUGCGAAUUCAUAAAUUCUUUAACACUAGUCUCAAAUUCAGAAGGCAUCUUAUUAAAAUUUCCAUAAUAAUUGUUGUAGGAAUUACCAUAAUUAUUAGAGGAAUUACUAGGAUACGACCUUGGAUUAAAGUUUCCUCUAUACGCGUUGUUACCAAAAUUAUUCCGACCAACAAAAUUCACAUCCAUAGAUUCAUUAUUAUUCUCAAUCAAAGUAGACAAAGGCAUAUCAUUAGGAUCAGAAGAAACACUUUUAUUAGCAAAUAAUUUCAUAAGUUCAUCCAUCUUUCCACUCAAAACAUUAAUUUCUUCUAUCGCAUGCACUUUUUUAUUAGUGGAUUUUUCGGUGUGCCAUUGAGAAUAAUUAACUAUAAUAUUAUCUAGGAGUUUAGUAGCUUCUCCUAAAGUGAUUUCCAUAAAAGUGCCUCCCGCGGCCGAAUCUAAAAGAUUUCUAGAAGAAAAAUUCAAUCCGGCAUAAAAUUUUUGUAUAAUCAUCCACAAAUUCAAACCAUGAGUAGGGCAAUUACGUAUCAUUAAUUUCAUCCUCUCGCAAGCUUGUGCAACAUGUUCAUGAUCAAGUUGCUUAAAAUUCAUAAUAUCAUUUCUAAGAGAGAUGAUCUUAGCGGGAGGAAAAUACUUAGAGAUAAAAGCAUCUUUGCACUUAUUUCAAGAAUCACUACUAUUUUUAGGCAAAGACAAAAACCAAGCUUUAGCACGAUCUCUAAGCGAAAAAGGAAAUAGCUUCAAUUUAACAAUAUCUUUGUCCACAUCUUUCUUCUUUUGCAUAUCACACAAAUCAACGAAGUUGCCAUGUCUAGGAAUGCUUGAAGCUUCAAAGAUUUCCUAUAAUACAACAUGCCUCUAACUAUUCACAAUAAGAAAAACAUGUAAAUGCGGAAUCAACCAAAUGAUGGUAAAUUGUAGUUGAUUUUGGCCAAGCAAACGUGAGAUGAAAGAAACAUACAUGAGUGAACAUCACGAUUGGAUGUUUUAUUCAAAUUUAACAGGUUAAACUCACCAAAUCCAUCUGGAUAUUUAGUAUUAAACUUUAACAGAUGGUCAGUUGUAGCUAGAUUCACACCACUGAAGCAAAAUUCCAUCUGCCACGGUUACAUCACACCAUCUUUUCAUCGUUACUAUUUAAAUUCCAAAUGCCUGCAACUCAUUUUUUUGUUAUGAUGUAUGCAUGAUUUUUAACUCAAGAGGAAGAGGGGAAACUAAAUCCAAGAAAAGAACACCAAGGAAGCAUCCAAAAUAGAGAAAGGAAAAAUCCAAAAUAGAGGCAGAAUCGAAGGGAAGAAACCCCAUAAAAAAUAGGAGAUCAAACGGUGAAAAAAAUCUAAGAGUCAAACAAUUCCAGGUAAGACCAAAUCGACGGCAAAAUAGCACAAGAGGGACUCACAUUAACAGGUAUACCAGGUAUACCAAUUCAGAAAGAAGUGUAAAGCGAACAGUGCAAUGGACCACUAGUAUAAAUUGGAUGUACACAAACAUGGGACUUAAACAGGAACUGCGAGAUGCAGGGUUCACGUGCAAACCCAAAAAACGGAAAACUGAAACCCACAACAAGAUUUUAUCUUCAUGUUUGUGUAUUAGUUGCUUCUUCCGAAUCCCCACCUAUCAAGCGUUUUCUCUGAAUAAACAAACAGAAUAGUAUUCUCUGAAUUAUACUGUACAACGGUAUUUAACAAAGCGACUGGAAUUAACAAUAUUAUGAGCUAUUGGCUUUUUAGUCAGGUAAAUAUCAUUCUUAAGACUACGGAAAACAGCAGGCGGCGAAGAAAACAUCUAUUGAUGAGAACUAUACACAUACUUAAGAAGGAAGUGACAUCUAUGGUAGCAGAACAUAUAUCAAGCUGUUGCAGCUACAUUAGCAGUUUAGCACAGUUCCUCCAUAAUACACAGGCUAGUGUAAUUUCACAAAUACAAUAAGCUAACAAUAUAUAUUUGGUAGAUGGAAAUGGCUGGAUCAUGACCAAUAUACCAUUACACAUCCGAUGAUGCAAAUAAAGAAACGAGGCCCAACAAUAGUGGAAAAUAAACCACAAUAGAACAUGUAUUUGGCGAAACCUCCAUACUGCAAUAUCAAACAUGAAUUGAAAUUAACAAUCUAGCAAAAAAACAUGACAGAUGCAGUCUUGGUCAUUUUUCCUUUUGUGACAUCCCCUAAAAAAGUAAAAACAAUGUUGUUCGUAUUUUACCAGAGAUACACUGAGCUGGGACAAUUCGGUCUGAAAUAAAAUAUGAUGGCUUCGGAGGAUUCGGAAGGCAAGAAAUUUGCUUUCUUCCAACAUAUAUGGUCUGCUGAACUAAACUUCGUUUCAACGGGCUUUGGCAAAAAUUUGUAACUGCAAACAUCAACUUGUGUGCCCGUCCUACGUCAAACUUUAACCCUGACGGAUUAAAUAUUUUAGGUUAGGCUGAGAUCAGUGUACUUUAUGAGUGUUAAGUGUACUUUCUAAAUAGCAGAGAAACCAUAACAUCUAAGCACAACCCAGCAACUUGUACAAGCUAACAUCAAAUCUGAAAGAGGAAAUGUCGAGAACAGGUGAAGGUACCAUGAUCCACGACUGAGCAAAGUUAUCUAUAAUCCUCGGUGAAUAUCAUAAAUUAGGAUCAACUACGCUGAAGAACAAACGGGAAAGGAACCUAGAAAGAUCUUCUGCCGGUAGAAUAUAACUGAUACACUAUCCUCAUUCUCGAGAUCAAGGUCGUUUCUUGAAUUGCAGUUUCCUCACUGUAGUAUGGGGUCAUUACACUGCGAAGAACAAAGUGUCAUAUGAAUCAUUUAGAGCCCAAUAUUUUUCACUGAAACUCUUAUGAUCACAUAACGAAUUUAAACAUAAGGUUUAUUAGAUAUUUGUUGUUGUGAACAGAUAAUAUAUUUCUGGUGUUGACAAUGUUUUGAUUAUGGAUGCACUUCAAGAUGGGUGGCACAGAUUCUGUUGUACAGGCCUCCACCUGGAAUUUCAUCACUUGUUAUUUUUGUUUUAGAAUGUCUAGGUGCAUUUUUCCUUUAAGGUGGAAACAGAUGUACUUGUAUAAGCAACAAGAAUACAAAGCGCCACUGCCAUACAUUGUGGAAGUUCAGUGCUUCUGUUUACAAAAUCUGCUUCCCAAAACAGAAGGAUUUAUAAUUUUUUAUUACAAUCAAGCGGACAUGAGCUGAUGAGUACAGAUGUAGACAUGUACUGAGAGCAGCACCCUUUCAAAAGUGGAUCAUUUACAAGUUGGAUAGUUUGAUGGUCUGAAAUUAGUGGUCGUGUUUCAGAAUUGUUAUCGAAUAGUAGGGGAUAUAUAUUAACUUCUGAAAUUAGUGGCUGUUUGUCAGAACUGUUAUCGAAUAACAGAGCACAUAUAUUAACUUCAAUAAGUGGAGUAAUAUUUUUGGAUUCGCUGUGAGGAAAGAUUACCAAAACAAAACAGAAGUGAGUGCGAGGACCCAGAUCAAGGCGCUCUUGAGCCUCUUCCCGACCGACCUAGAUGCAGGAGCAGAACACGGCGGAUCUAAUCAGCCAACGAAUAAAGCUGAGGCAGGUAGAGGAAGUAAGGGAGGAAGAAGACUGACUUUUCCUGGUCGCCCUCGUAGUAGAACCUGUGUUUUGAUUUUCGGCCGAAAAAAGUGGAUUUCGGCCAUCUCGGCCUGGGGCGAAAAGUGUAUUUAGGCCGAAAUUGUUCAAAUUUAGCAAAUUUUGGUCAAAUUUAAGUCAAAUUGCAGUCAAAAUUUGGUCAAAUUUCAGCCGAAAUUUUUGAAAAUGGCCGAAAUUCGGCCAUCUCAGCCUAGGGAGAAAAAAAAGCUCAAACCGAAAAUCAAAACACAGAGUAGAACAUGGCGAACAGGAUGACGAGGAAGACGAGGACAGCGUCGAGGAUGUAGACGACGAGCCAGAGCGUGUUCAUGGGCAGGAUCAAGCAUGGGCAGGAUAAGGGCGCAGGCCCCGUUGUAGGCGGCGUGCUUGCAGGCCUGGCGGUUGGCGACGUCGGCGGGGAGCAUGAGGAUGGCGAGGACGGCGACGGUGAUGCCGAGCACGACGACGAGCUUGAGGAAGUAGGCCUGGUUGGCAUCAUCCGGCUGCUGGUAGUUGACGAGCAGGUAGACGCUGACGAGGAGCACCAGGAUGCUGACCACCGCCGCCACGAUCACUAGCGCCACGUUAAAAACCCCAUCUCCUCGGGGCUCCGGUCCCGGUUCCGGCCCGCCGCCUCGCCCCCAUUGGUCGGUCAGAUCUCUCUGUCCCUAGAGGCGGGGGGACACAGGCUAGGGUUUGGGCGUGGGCGGGGAAUAGGCUGCUAUGGUGCCGGCAGCGGGGCGUGUAGGAGAGAAGGAUUAGGAGGAAUAAUUCACCACACUUUGCUUAAGCUCUCGGCUGGUUCUUAUGUAUAGAUUACAGGGCCAGCCAGGGAGAUCAUGGGGUGAUCCACUACCUGGGAUCGUGCGCCACGAUCACUACAUGCGUGCGCCACGAUCAUAUACACACACGCUACACCUAGUGUCUACGCAACUACGGUAUAGCAGUACAGUACAGUCUAACACCCCCCCGCAGUCGUGACGUCGUCGGCGGCGACGCAAAGACUGGACCGGAACUCAGAGAAAACAUCCGAUGGCAGGCCUUUGGUCAUGAUGUCCGCGAGUUGUUGGCGCAUGGGGAUGUGAAGAACACGGAAGUGGCCGAGGGCGACGCGCUCCCGCACGAAAUGGAUGUCCAGCUCCACAUGCUUAGUGCGGCGAUGAUGCACCGAAUUGGCUGACAGGUAGACUGCGGACACAUUGUCAUAGUACACCAGUGCCGCCUUGGUCACUGGAGCGGAGAGCUCGCCGAGAAACUGGCGGAGCCAGAUGCAUUCAGCGACCGCGUUGGCAACGCCGUGGUAUUCAGCUUCGGCACUGGAGCGCGAUACGGUCGCCUGGCGCUUGGAGGACCAGGAGAUGAGAGCAUCGCCGAGGAAGACGCAGAAGCCCGACGUGGAGCGUCGGGUGUCGGGGCAGCCGGCCCAGUCCGCGUCGGUGAACGCACGGACGUCGAGCGUGGUCGAGGCGCGAAGAUGAAGCCCGAGUGUGCAGGUGCCCUUCACGUACCGGAGCACGCGCUUGACGAGCGCGAGGUGACAUUCGCGCGGGUCAUGCAUGUGCAAGCAGAUUUGCUGGACGGCGUAGGCGAUCUCUGGGCGCGUGAUGGUGAGGUAGUGCAGGGCCCCGGCGAUGCUCCGAUAGGCUGAGGGGUCGUCGACGCAGGGCCCAUCGGCUGAGGGGAGUUUGCUCUUCGUGUCGAUGGGUGUCGGGGAAGGGUGGCAGGUGUCCAUGCCGGCGCGUUCCAGGAGUUCGUCGGCAUAUUGUUGUUGCGACAGGAAGAAGCCAGCUCGGGUGCGGGUCACGCGGAUGCCGAGGAAGAAGGCGAGCGAGCCCAGGUCCUUCAUGGUGAAUUCGCCUGUGAGGCGUUGGAUGACAUGGUGAAGCACGCGUGACGAGGACGCGGUGAGCACGAUGUCGUCGACGUAGAGGAGGAGGAACGCCAUGUCGUUGCCGUGCCGGAAGGUGAACAGCGACGAGUCCGAACGCGUAGCUGCGAAGCCAAUGGAGCGGACGAAGCCGGCGAAGUGGAGGAACCAGGCACGGGGCGCCUGCUUGAGCCCGUACAAGGACUUGGAGAGGCGGCGAACGUGCUCUGGUUUGUCGGGGUCGACGAAUCCGGCGGGCUGGAGGCAGUAGACUUCCUCCUCCUAGUUGCCGUGGAGGAAGGCGUUGGAGACGUCGAGGUGGUGCACCGGCCAGCCGCGUGACGCGGCCAGAGUGAGCACCGUGUGGAUCGUCGCUGGCUUGACGACGGGGGAGAACAUCUCGCCGUAGUCGACGCCGGCACGCUGAUGAAAGCCCCGCACGACCCAGUGUGCUUUGUAGCGGGCCAGCGCGCCGUCGGCGUCGUUUUUGUGCUUGAAGAUCCACUUCCCUGUGAUCAGGUUGGCGCCCGGGGGGCGGGCACCAGCUCCCACGUGCGAUUGCGCACGAGCGCAUGGCACCGAGCCAGUUCGGGUCGCGAACAGCAGCGCGAAGCGAACGUGGCACCGGCGACACCGAUGAUGAGGUAGAGGCGGUGGCCGCGUCGUAGUAGCGUGGGUUGGGGCGGAAGAUGCCGCGCUGGGCACGCGUGACCAUGGGCACAGGAGGCGCCGGUGCGCGGCGCGCCGCUGGUGGCGCGCUCGGAGACGAGCUGUCGGAGGAGCCGCUGGCGGAGUUGUCGGAGGAGCCGCUGGCGGAGGCGAAGACAGGCGGACCAGGCGCGGAUGGGCACGUCGAGGAUGGAGCCGAGCCGCCAUCGGAAGCGCCCGCAGCGUACCGCGAGCUGACGCGGCGCGCCUCGCUGGUUGGCGAGGAUGAGCGGGGCAGGCCGGUGAUGGAGAUCGGGCGCGCCGGCAGCACGGGUGACAUGCUGCUGUCAGGCACCAGUGGAAGCGCGGGCAGCGCAGGAGGCCGGACGACGAGCGGGAUCUGCAGGGUAGAGGGUAUGACGGGUGGCGUAGGCGACGGGGAAGAGGAUGCGAACGGGAAAACGUGUUCGUGGAAGAGAACGUGGCGAGACGUGAGGACGCGGCGAGAGGUGAGGUCAAAGCAGCGAAAACCACGAUGAUCGGGAGGGUACCCGAGGAAGACGCAGGCGAUAGAACGUGGCUCGAGCUUAUGGCGGGUGGUGGCGGUGACGUUCGGAUAGCAGAGGCAUCCAAAGACGCGGAGCUGCGAGUAAUCUGGGGCGACGCCGAGCAGGAGUUCAUGCGGAGUGCAGGGCGCCGAGGCGCGGUAGGGCCGACGAUUGAGCAGGUAGGUCGAGGUGUUGAGAGCCUCUGCCCAGAAGCGAGCGGGCAUGUGCGCAUGACAGAGAAGCACACGAACGCCGUCGUUGAUCGUGCGGAGAACUCGCUCGUCCUUGCCGUUCUGCUGACUGGUGUAUGGGCAGGUGAGACGGAAGUGUGUGCCGUGGCGAGCAAGCAGAGAGCGCACGGCUGCGCUGUCGAAUUCACGACCAUUGCCCAUUUGCAGUGCAAGUAUGGGUAACUGAAACUGAGUCUGAACAUAGGCAAAGAAAUCAACAAGUAUGGGAAGAACUUCAGACAUGUGUUUCAGAGGGAAAGUCCAGACAUAGUGACUGAAAUCAUCUAGUAUAACUAAGUAAAACUGAUAGCCGGAUAUGCUUACAACGGGAGCGGUCCAUACAUCAAGGUGUAAAAGCUGGAAAGAACUAGCAGUGGUGGAUGUCUGAAACGGGAGCCAGGUGUGUUUGCCAACACGACAGGCAUGACAGACAGGCGGAUCACGGCAGAACUCCAGGGACUGAUCAACAGCAACAGUGCGGAGUGCGGCAGCCCCUGGGUGGCCAUGCGUUGGUGCCGGGUGCAGGCGUGGGGUACGCCGGGGGAGGGCGGGGAGCCUGGGAGGACGGCGUGGGCGGGCCACCAAUGCCGUUGCCACGUCUGCGGCGGCGUCCGCGCCCACGCCCUUGGUUGGUGUUGCUGGGCGGGGGUGUGGGUGGUGUAGGAGAGCCGCCACGCCCGGCGACGAGAGCGUGCGCAGACUGCUGGCGAGUGGUCGACUGCUCUGCUCGGUGUUCCUCAAGCAGGACGAAGGAGCGCACCUGCAGGAACGACGGGAGCGGGACCUGCGAGGUGAUGUGAGGGAUGGCGGAGUGGAACUGCUGGUUCAGACCGCGGAGCAGGUUGAAGACCUGCCGCGAGUCGGUUACCGGCUGCCCGAGGUCGCGGAGUCGAUCCGUGAACGACUUCAUCUUGGUGCAGUACGCCAUGAUCGACAUGUCGCCCUGAACGACAUAGUGGUACUCGGCGUCGAGGUAGACAGCGCGAGCGAGGUGGUUGUCGCGGAAGAUUCCAUCGACCGCAGUCCAGAUGGCCAGAGCAGUGUCGUCCGGCUGCAUGACGACGUCGAGCAGGUCCGGCGAUAUGGUAGUGUAGAACCAGUGGACGACGACGUGAUCAGCCAUGCCCCACUCGGGAUCAUCGUGGCGGUGGAUGGCCAUGGCGUCGACGUGAGUGCGGAGGCCGAACAUGCCGAUGACGGUGUCGAAGUGGCGGCGCCACUGCGUGUAGUUGCCGGCGAGAAGGUCGAGGGUGACCGGGACAUGACGACGGAUGUCCACGGUCUGCAGGAUCGCGGAGGCGACAGGUGCUGUAGGAGGAGGAGGAGGGAUGACGGGCACCGCGGGCGCGACAGGUGCUGGAGCCGGCGGUGCGUUGGCCAGGGGGACAGCGUUGAGGACGCCGUCGGCGCCGUGCUGCGAGGAGCGAGGGGACACGACGGGGUUGUCAUCCAUGGCGGUGGAAGCGGGACUGGCGACCUGCGCGAAGGGAUUGAGCAGGUCGGGGGAGUCUGAUACCAUAUAGGAAAGAAGGAUUAGGAGGAAUAAUUCACCACACUUUGAUUGAGCUCUCGGUUGGGUCUUAUGUACAGAUUACAGGGCCAGGGAGAUCAUGGGGUGAUCCACUACCUGGGAUCGUGCGCCACGAUCACUAUAUGCGUGCGCCACGAUUAUAUACACACAUGCUACAACUAGUGUCUACGCAACUACGGUAUAGCAGUACAAUAAAGUCUAACAGGGCGGCCACCGGCGGGGAGGGCGGGAUCCGUGCGGGGUGGCGGGAUUUGGGCAGGCGGUGGGCUCGGGGGAGGGCGAUGGCAGCGAAGCAGCAAGGAGGGGCUGGAGGAGAUGAAACGAAAGAGGUCGCGUGACACAGCGACAGCGUAGUCCAAUCCCCUCGCUGCUGAUUUAAAAAAAAGGUAAUGAUAACUCCCGAACGUUCGGGAGUUAAGCAUGGCAACCCGAACGGGUUUAGAUGGCAAGUUUAGUUUGCGUGAGAUUAGGGAAACAUGGCAAUUUUCUGACAAAAGAAAUGAAAAAGGACGAAGUUGCCAUCCCCUAUCAACUAAAGUUGCCAUCCCCUAUAAAUUAAAGUUGCCAUGUAAAAACGUUCGGGACGAAAUGCUCAAAAUCCGAACGUUCGGAAGUUACUGGAUUCAAAAAAAUCCCCUUGCUGCCAAUCGCUGGCCCGUUUCUUUUUUCGCCCAAUCGCUAGGUGAUGACGUGGCUAUCGCGGGAAGGCGCCCUUGAUGCGUAGUCGAAUGGUUUUAAUUAAUAGGAAACGAGUGCUUACUCUAGUUACUGAAUCAUGUACACCAAAUAAAGCCAUUUACACGUAGUUAAUGACAAAAAAAGUUGAUGUUUGCUACGCAAAUGUGUAGUACAAAUUAAGAAGUGCAAGAUUAAAAAAAAAUGCUGGUCCUUGAUUCGUUGUUGAUCGUCAGCAUGCCAUCAUCAAUUUGUAGUUAAUUAUCAUACAAAUUGGCUCUUUCAUAGAGUUGGAGGCUAGCUCCUUUGAUCAGCACGCGCUUAAACACAAACAGCACGUAUAUGUUUUGUCUCCGGAGUUCAAUUCUUCAUCGGCCAGCAAAAAUGGCCCGACCGGGUAGAGGAAAAGGCAUGUUUGUUAGUACGCCUGGAGGAAAUGCCUUUGAUUACGGCAUCUUCAACAGCGACCAGUAAAUUUCCUUCCGCGUUCGUUCACGGAUAGGGGAUCAGUCUGCGGAUACGAAUACAGGAAUCAUCCAUCCAACGCUGUCCGCGUAUAUUUCAAACACAUUUUUUUUUUAAAAUAGGAUGAAAUUCAUGCAAACACAAUGGAUUUCAUACAAACCGGACAAAAAUGUUUACAUUUUGGACAUAUUUUUUUACUAAAAACUCUACAGCCGGCGCCGGCGAAUAUCCACCCCGGCGACAUGGAUACCCUUGACUAGUCUACUGCCGGCCGCAGCGGAUCUCCAAUGUCGUCCCCAUAUCCGGCAGCUAUGAGCCCUAGAGGUAUAUGCUUCAGCGCAAAGAGCGGCUCGCCUCCCUACCGCUCAUCGGAGUGGAACAACCAGCUGAUGCUUCUGCCGAUGGAAAGGGUCCCUACGCUACACGGAUUAGAGUUGGUUUUCGGCUGGGAACGGCGGUGGCCUGCCAGAGGGCAAGACACCGACUGUGUAUGCUGGUGUCACCUGGUGUGGCAUUCGUGGGACCCAAGCGGCAGCGCCUCCUCGAUGAUGGCGGCGAGCGCGGACGUGUUUGACACCACCUCGUCGAUGUCCGUGCAGCCGGCUUCUUUCUCUGUAGGAAGGACGCGGUUACGCUUGCGUUGACAUCGGAUGACUCGGUCACAUGCACGGGAGGGGCGGUACGACAUGGCACCGCCAAUGGCAGCCAUGAUGCCCACGCCACCGUGCUCCCUCCCAGUGCCGAUCUAGAGCAACUUGCCACUCCUCUGCUCGUGACCGGUGGGCUUGACGGGCCACCUAGCCAUUUUUUAUGCCAGACAACUCUUCUUCCUGCUCGUCAGAUGUCAUGGAUAAAACUGUUUAAGGAGGAAAAUGAUGAGUGGACGUGUGAUGCGGUUCUUGCCCAACAUCUGACAUUGUUUAAAUAGCGAGGGGAGACGAGAGGAGCCAACCGGCGUACUGUUUAAUGCCAACCGGCUCGCGAACGAACAUGUGGCCGGAGUAAUUAUCCUAGCACACACGCGGGUUUAAUGGUGGAAGGCGGGCAGUCUGCAGGAAUGAGGCGAGGAUGUGUGCUUAGCCGGCGUGCAGCAGGCGGCGCCCUCGGCCGGCGUGCUGCUUCCAUUGCGGAGGCAGUGAGAGGUCGCGUCCGCUCUGCAGCGCAUGAAUGCGGGCAGCUGGCGCAGAGCGGGAACGCGUGCGGGCGAGGGAGGAGGGGGUUUGGGCGGGUGGUCAGAAGAGGUCGUGGGUGUUGUCCGAACGCCUGCAAAGCCCCCCUCCAUGUUUGUCUCCAGUUUGCGGGAGAAAGUACGUCCGGACCGUCUCCAAUGGACCAAUACAGGCCCGCAUUGGAUAGCACAACACGUCCGGACCAUGUGGUCCGGAUGGUUGUGGACAGUUUAAUUGAGGGUCGGCGUUGGAGAUGCCUUAGAGUUUAUGAAUCCAUUGUGUUUUUCUAAUCAUAAAAAAUCACUUACAAUAAGUUAUAAGGAAAGACACGUUUAUAUGUUAGGUUCAGACUCCAGCUUUCGUUUUACAUAUGCUUUAUUCAUCCGACUGAUUCCAAUAGAGUGAGCCUAGCGUUGUUUUUCUGGAAACUCGCGGGAUAAGGAGACAUGCAUACACAUUCUUUCAAGCAAAUCACAUCCAUUUUUUUUAACUCAUUUUUCUUCUUUUAAUAAUAUAAUAGAUCAUUUAUAUUUUUUAUCUGAAACAGUUGACGUGUAAUUUAUAUUGUAAUCUGAGGAUAAUGUUUGGAUUUUACUUUCAAAUAUAUUUGAAAUGGCCAUGAUGGAAUCACAUCCAUUUAUUUUAUUAUUAUUUGAAUUUGAUCCAAAAGAUAAAUAAUGAGUAGAGGUCAUGUCAACUUUUCUGAGAACUUUGCUAAUCAAAAUAUAAAUUGUAUUUAAAAACAUCUAUUUUUUAGCACGCAUGAAAAACAUAACACGUAUCUUUUCACACAUAAUGAACGGUUGUCAUAAGAACUCAUGCCAUGCCACAACCUCCCUCCGACCCUGCCAACAUUGUUGCAGCUGCACUCGCAAGCCUUAGCGUAGAUGAUAAUUUAUACAAUUUGCGUAAAACAAAAUAAGAUCUACAAAUGAAUAGAAGCUAGAACGUACAUUGGCAUGCACACACAUUGCAAGCCAUACUAAGCUGAUAAGUGUUAAUAACUUGUACAACAUAUACAACACUUAAGACAAGUAAAAGCAAUUUGAUGAGUCAUGGUCUAUCAAAGCCACAUUACUAGUCUAAUCCAUCUUAACAGGUCACACAUGAUUAAAAUCUUGUUUGUGUGCAAGUCAAGCUUAUCUAGUUUACAUGUAACAACUUGUAGAACAUUACAAAAUUUAUGUUUGCUAAUAACUUCUAGAACACUACAACACUUGACAUGUAAAAGGAAUUUGAUGAGUCAUGGCCUACUAAAGCAAGUUAUAUUACUAGUCUUAUCUACCAUAACAGGCCACACAAGAUUACAAACCAAGUUCUGUGCCAGCCAUGCUUAUCUAGUUUAUGCGUAACAAUUUGCAGAAAAUUACAAACUUAGUUUCAGAAAAAUAGGCAAUCUAGAUUAGUGUUUGAGCUGUAAAGUGAAUAAAAUGAGUCAUGCGUGUUAUCACACCUUUUUGGUUGUGGAAUGAUAGUGCAACAACAAGGAACUUUAAUGACCAGUUCAAGAAUACACUUGUAAGUAGUGCCACCGAACACAACAUACCAAAUUAUGAUUUUGAGAAGCAUCCAAGCACAUCCACACAAGCAAAUGCCAAUUGUGAAAGAGAUCAUGCCAUGGCAGCUAUAAAUAGGCCCGUAGCAUGACGAUCAUCCUUCCUCAUCCAUCAUUCUCAUAAGUAGAGCGCAUCAUUUAAGCCAAGCAAGCAGUGCUCAAUACAAAUCCACCAUGAAGACCUUUCUCAUCCUUGCCCUCCUUGCUAUUGUAGCAACCACCGCCACAAUUGCAGUUAGAGUUCCAGUGCCACAAUUGCAGCCACAAAAUCCAUCUCAGCAACAACCACAAGAGCAAGUUCCAUUGGUACAACAACAGCAAUUUCCAGGGCAGCAACAACCAUUUCCACCACAACAGCCAUAUCCGCAGCCGCAACCAUUUCCAUCACAACAACCAUAUCUGCAGCUGCAACCAUUUCCGCAGCCGCAACUACCAUAUCCGCAGCCGCAACCAUUUCGACCACAACAACCAUAUCCACAACCGCAACCACAGUAUUCGCAACCACAACAACCAAUUUCACAGCAGCAGCAGCAGCAGCAACAACAACAACAACAACAACAACAGAUCCUUCAACAAAUUUUGCAACAAUAACUGAUUCCAUGCAGGGAUGUUGUAUUGCAACAACACAGCAUAGCGCAUGGAAGCUCACAAGUUUUGCAACAAAGUACUUACCAGCUGGUGCAACAAUUGUGUUGUCAACAGCUGUGGCAGAUCCCCGAGCAGUCGCGGUGCCAAGCCAUCCACAAUGUUGUUCAUGCUAUUAUUCUGCAUCAACAACAACAACAACAACAACAACCGUUGAGCCAGGUCUGCUUCCAACAGCCUCAACAACAAUAUCCAUCAGGCCAGGGCUCCUUCCAGCCAUCUUAGCAAAACCCACAGGCCCAGGGCUCUGUCCAGCCUCAACAACUGCCCCAGUUUGAGGAAAUAAGGAACCUAGCGCUAGAGACGCUACCUGCAAUGUGCAAUGUCUAUAUCCCUCCAUAUUGCACCAUUGCUCCAGUUGGCAUCUUCGGUACUAACUGAGAAUAGAAUAACUCUAGUAGUAGAUAUAUGAUACACCGUUUUCUUAGUCCAUGGUUUGGUCGUUGUAGCGGUGAAAAAAUAAAGUGACAUGCACUAUCAUGUAAGAACCCGAACUAUACUAUUUCAAACAUGGGAAUAAAAGACAAACACAUGUCUUGUCUACAUAUGAUUGUUUGUUUGAGUUCCACUCAUGUGCCCACUCACAAGUUCACCCCUAAUUAUAUAUAUUAUGCAUUAAGUAGAUAUUUAUGUUGCAUUAAUCUAAAGAUAACAAAAUGAGUCUGAAAUUUGAAUUAAAUUGAAGUAUUUCCUUGGACUUUCAAAUGGAGUAUUAUUAAAGUAGUAAGGACUAUCCACAUCCUUGGCUUGCCCUUGAUCAAUUAUUUCCAGAGAAGCAUUCAAUUCAUCAAUCAAUUACAUUGAUUUUUGUGGCUGGUACUUCUCCUCAACAUGAGUAUAUUCAUCGCGGCUACUCCAAAUAGCCAUGAAUGAGGUACCGGUGCUCUGGAGCACUGGUACCUAACUGCUUCUCAUGUGAAGGGGUGCGGGCGCGGGAGAGGUGUUUUUGGUGGGCCAGGGGAGUAAGAAGCGGCCGUGGCAGCGGUCCAGACGCCCACAAAGCCCCGUAGUUUGUUUUUGGUUUACAGGAAAAUGCACAUCCAGACUGGCCUGCGGGCCGAUAUAGGACCGUAUUGGAUGGCAAAACAUGUCCGGAUGGUCGCGAGCGGUUUAAGGGUUAGCUUUUGUAACACCCGGUUAGUUAUGCUAUGGUAAUUCCCUGCUAAUGAUGUCACGUCAGCACGAUUACUGUUGUUAACCUCACAAUGAUUCAAUCCCAUUCAAAUUCAAAUUUAAAAUAAAGGCAAACAUCAAAAGUUUCAAACAUUAAAACUAAAAUCUUCGAGAGGUGAAAAAUAAUGCAUAAGUAAUUAUGGUGGAGAAACCACACUUUUAUAAAAUGUUUAAAUACUCUAAAAAUAAUAAAACAGUGGCUUAAACUAUUAUUUAAAUGCUUUUAAAAUAGUAAAAAUGUUCUAACUAAAUUAAUUGGGUACCAAACUUUUGGUGGCAGUGGUAUAUUUAGUAGAACUAAUUUAGAUGCUAAUAAAACAUAAAAGGAAAGACAAAACAAAUAAAAGUAAAAGGGGGCAACCCUUGGCUGGGCCUCGGCCAAGCUGGGCACUUGGCUAGCUAGGUUGGCCCAACCGCCUCCCUUAACCCCCCACUCCCCAUCGAACCCUAGACCGAUCGCCCCACUUCCCCCCCACCCCCUCGUCAGCCUCCCCACCUCUCGAUCCCAUCUGGAUCGGGGAGGGGAUCGCCUUCAUCGACCCCGUCGCGGUCGCUGGAUCGCCCGCUCGCCCAUCGCCCGCCGGCGUCGCCGGACCUCCUCCCCGUCGCAUGUCUCCGGCUCUCCUCCCCUCUCGCUCCUCUUCCCCGACCCGAUCUAGAUCGGGAAGGGCCAAUGAGCCCAACGCCCCCCUCCAUCGACGCUGUGCUCCAGCACCGCCGCCCGAAGACCUCGCCAUCGCCGGACCUCGCGUCGCCUCCUCGUAUCCCUCCCCGACUCGCCUCCUCAAGCCACGCCGACCCCCUCUCGGCAACGCCGUGAGCCGCACCCGUUUCCCUCCUUCUCUUUCCACCGUGUUCACCGCGCCGCCUGCCGUGCCCCUCGCCGCGCGCACGCCCACCACCGCGCCAGCCCCCGCUCCCGCCCUCUCCUGCACGCUUGUGCGCGCAUGACCCUAGCCGCGCCCACGCCGUGAUCCCCUUGUCCCGCCCGCCUUCGUCCCGCGCUCGCCGCGGCCCCCAUGCUCCCCUGCGCCCUCUUUUGGGGCCGUCGGCUGCCCCUGUCCCGCAGCUCGCUGGCAUGCGUCCCCGCCUGCGCCUCGCCACCGCUCUACUGCUACGCUACUAUUGCGCUGUGGCCGCCGCCGCUUCCCGCUGCUCUGCCAGCGCCAAAGCUCCUGGUUGGCCCUGCCGCUGCUCGCGUUUAACCGCCGGCCUAAGCGGCCUAACCUCCCCCCUCGCUAAUGAACCCCCACCGACCCGCUGACACCGGGACCCACAUCCCCUAAUUAACCAUUUAAUAAAUUAAAACUCUUAAAUUAACAUUAGUGUAUGACAUGUGGGUCCCCUAUUAAUUAAACUGAUUUAAUUAAAAUCUAUUAACUUUGAGUCUAUGACAUAUGGGCCCCACUAAACAUUUGACCAAUCAACGGUCCAGUCAAAUGCUGACCGGACAGUUGACCAGAGGGCCCCGCCAGUCAGCCAAUGUGCUGUUCUGCUGGGUACCUUUCUAAGUACACCUAGCAUUUUGCAUUUACAAUAUUUGUUUUAAAAUAAAUUAGAAUAAUUUCAAAAAAAUAUUAAAACUUUUAAAAUUAAAAUAAAAUAAUCCGUAACUCGGAUGAAAUUACUUUAUACAUGGAAGUUGCUCAAAAAAUGAGACGAAUCCGAAUACACAGUCCGUUCGUCUGCCACGCGUCCCUAGCAUAGCGAACAUGCAACCAUCCCCCUCCGGUUCGACUGUCCGAAAAAUUAUUAUUGCACAUGCCCGCUAAGAGGUUGGCUGUAUAUGACAUGACAACUUCUUAUAGCCGAGCCUUGGCUGUAUUAUUAACCAUGCUCUUAGUGAGGUAGCUAGUAUAUCAUAGACGACUAGCUAGUAUCAGACUAGCCAAAGUGGGAGUAACUUCAGCAGUAACAUCGACUCCAACUCAGCAAACUUCCUUAUGUGGGAGUAAACCGUGCCCAAUGCAAAAUACAAUCCCAGUCGUAAUUUUUUCAGGAAACGUGUGGGAUCCCAAACGAAAAGCACACGUCACUCUUGCGGCAACCGUCGGUGACACCCAAUAAAUCACAAACGGUCUGCAGCAGCUGUAUGUGUGCAAAGGGGCUCCUGAACCGUUUGUGAUAGAACAUUAUCGCAGACGGUAAUUGUUGGCAAACGUGUGCGAUGGAGUCUAGCAUGGCAGACGGGUUACGCAGAAAACUCGUGUGUGAUGGGGCACAAAUCGCACACAGUUCAUAUGUUGGUCCAUGUGCCUUACAUACUAUUUCCCAAAUGGUUUGUUACGACAGACCGUAUCGUUUCAGUGCGUCAUUAGAAACGCUUAAUCACUGAUACCACACGUGCGAAAGAAAUUAGUGCGUGAUGCAUCGCACACGAUUACAUUUUGGAAGGCCUCUGGAUCACUGCUCCAUAUCCCCGACGGUUUCUGGGCCGUGUGGGAAGGACACCCUAUCGCACACACUCACUUGGCGAUGGUUCCAAAUGCUGUCGCAGAAAAGGGUUAAAAACAGUUUGUUUAGGACCGACGCGUACCAGUGUCUAUCUAUCUAUCUAUCUAUCUAUCUAUGUAUCUAUCUAUCUAUCCAUCUAUCUAUCUAUCUAUCUAUCUAUCUAUCUAUCUAUCUAUCUAUCUAUCUCAAUCCACCUAUCUAUCUAUCCAUCUAUCUAUCUCUCCAUCUAUCCAUCUAUCUAUCCAUCUAUCCAUCCAUCUACUAUCCAUCUAUCUAUCCAUCCAUCCAUCUAUCUAUCCAUCCAUCCAUCUAUCUAUCUAUNNNNNNNNNNNNNNNNNNNNNNNNNNNNNNNNNNNNNNNNNNNNNNNNNNNNNNNNNNNNNNNNNNNNNNNNNNNNNNNNNNNNNNNNNNNNNNNNNNNNNNNNNNNNNNNNNNNNNNNNNNNNNNNNNNNNNNNNNNNNNNNNNNNNNNNNNNNNNNNNNNNNNNNNNNNNNNNNNNNNNNNNNNNNNNNNNNNNNNNNNNNNNNNNNNNNNNNNNNNNNNNNNNNNNNNNNNNNNNNNNNNNNNNNNNNNNNNUCUAUGUAUCCAUUUAUCCAUUGAUCCAUCUAUCGAUCCAUCCAUCCAUCCAUCUAUCCAUCAAUCUAUCUAUCCAUGUAUCCAUGUAUCCAUCUAUCCAUCUAUCGAUCUAUCCAUCCAUCUAUCUAUCUAUCUAUCCAUCUAUCCAUCUAUCGAUCUAUCCAUCUAUCUAUCUAUCCAUCCAUCUAUCGAUCUAUCGGUCUAUCCAUCUAUCGAUCUAUCCAUCUCUCCAUCUACCCAACUAUCCAUCUAUCCAUCUAUUCAUCUACCGAUCUAUCUAUCCAUCUAUCUAUCUAGCUAUCUAGCUAUCUAGCUAUCUAUCUAUCUAUCUAUCUAGCUAUCUAGCUAUCUAUCUAUCUAGUUAUCUAGCUAUCUAUCUAUCUACCUACCUACCUACCUACCUACCUACCUAUCUAUCUAUCUAUCUAUCUAUCUAUCUAUCUAUCUAUCUAUCUAUCUAUCUAUCUAUCUAUCUAUCUAUCUAUCUAAAGGAAAUAUGCCCUAGAUGCAAUAAUAAAGUUGUCAUUUAUAGUUCGUUAUAUCAUGAUAAACUAGCGGAGUCACCCGCGCAUUUGCGCGGCUAGAUUGACUACAUAUAUUGUUAUAUUUGGGAUUAUUUUUCUAUGCCAAUUUUAUGGCCUCUUACUCAGAUAUUAUCUAAUUGAAUUUACCACCACCAUAUGUUAUAUCCAUAGAUUAUAAUGAAAAGGCAACUUCCGACGAAACAUGGACAGAUUAUUGAGUGCUCAGAAGACGGACGCAAUAUCAUAUAUAGACUUCUAUACCAAUCUUCAUGGUUCCCAUCUUUGAUCCUCUCCUCGUCCCUUGGUAUCUAUCUUUGCACCCAAUAUGUCUUUGGAGUUCCAAGAAUUGAAUCUUAGCAUGAAUGGCUUCAAUGUGUACCAAAUGUUCUCUUGUUCCUCCCAAAUUAAUUACUGGUUGCAUUCUUAGUUGCUUUGACAUUCUUGGUUAAUGCAAUUUCUUGCCUACCAAUAUAUGCAUCCACACACGAUCAUAUUUAUAUGACCACUUACCUCUGUAUUCUGGUAUUUGUGCUUCAGAAUUUUUCUCUCAUUCAGUUUAUUCAUAGAUUAAAAACGUCGAUCGUUUCUUUAUUGGUUUGCAUUAUCUUGUUUGCCGAACGUAAGCAUCCACACAUGCUCGUCAUGAUAUGAUUGGUCAUCAUUGUAUAUUUGUAUUUGUGUGUUGAUAGCUUAAGGAUUUUCUCGGAUUCACUUCAUAGUUUAAGGAUUUUCUCGCGUUCAAUUUAUUCUACCUUAUUCAUUUUCAUGUUUCUUUAUUGCAUUUAUAUCAAUUCUUACAAUAUAUUUUCCAAGAUAUGAACUCAACUACUAAUUACGUAGUUUUUCAUCAAAAAUUACAUGUAAAAAUGUUACAAAUGCAUAAACAUGAUAAAAAUAUAUAUCAUAUUCCAUUGAGAGAUCGCCCAUUUAAAAAAAACACGUUGACUUACAAAAAGGACAAUUCAAGCUGCAUGUACGUCCGACUCAUGUUUACCUGACAAUGUCGAUGUUGAUUUCAGCAGUAAAUGAGCUGUGUGUGACCUUUGCGCUUUCCGGUAUUCUUCUAACCUGUGUGCUUUAUGAUCAGUUUGUUGUGCUUAGUACUGGACACUUGAGUAUACUAUCAUAUUUGGUACAAAUAAAUCUGAACUACUAUAGUUAUGAUCCACUGUAUAGUUAAUGGUGGUGGUAAUUAAUAUAUGUGGUUAAAUACUUGCGCUCCUUAGGUGGGGAGUUGGAUUUGUAUUUCCCUAAAAUAAAUUUCAGAUUUCGUAAUAGUGGUGAAGCCAGCCGGAAGAACCUCUGCGUCAUUAUUAAUUUUGGUGAUAUUUUUCUUCAUAGUGUAGAAUAAUUUUAGUGCUUAUUCCGCAAAAAAUAUGGCCUCAACUGACCCCAUAGCUUGUAUGUUGCGCCACCACUGUUUCCUAUAUCCUAUUACAUCCGUUGUUUUUAGAUCUUGAUGCAUAACUUUGACAAUAUUUAAUAGAUAUGUGUCUGUAUAAAAAAUUAUAAAUGCUAUGAUAAUUUGAUUAAUUAUGAUGAAUAAAAUGUUAUUGCUCUGACUUGAUCCCUCUAGAAUUUUCCAAAAUUUCACAUUACAGUUGUAGUAGUGCAUGCUACCUCUUGAGCACUGCGUUAGUUUUCCCUUGAAGAGGAAAGGGUGAUGCAGUAAAGUAGCGUCAGUAUUUCCCUCGGUUUUUGAGAACCAAGGUAUCAAUCCAGUAGGAGGCCACGCAUGAGUCCCUCGCACCUACACAAACAAAUAAAAUCCUCGCAACCAACGCAAUAAAGGGGUUGUCAAUCCCUUCACGGUCACUUACGAAAGUGAGAUCUGAUAGAUUUGAUAAGAUAAUAUUUUUGGUAUUUUUAUGAUAAAGAUGCAACGUAAAGAAAGCAAAAUAAAAAAAGCGCCAGAAAUAGCUUGUUGACGGGAGAUUAAAAUAGACCGGGGGGCCAUAGGUUUCACUAGUGGCUUCUCUCGAGAGCAUAAGUAUUUUGGUGGGUAGACAAAUUACUGUUGAGCAAUUGACAGAAUUGAGCAUAGUUAUGGGAAUAUCAAGGUAUGAUCAUGUAUAUAGGCAUCACGUCCGAGGCAAGUAGCCCGACUCCUGCCUGCAUCUACUACUAUUACUCCACACAUCGACUGCUAUCCAGCAUGCAUCUAGAGUAUUAAUUUCAAAAGAACAGAGUAACGCUUUAAGUAAGAUGACAUGAUGUAGAGGGAUAAACUCAUGCAGUAUGAUAUAAACCCCAUCUUGUUAUCCUCGAUGGCAACAAUACAAUACGUGCCUUGCUGCCCCUACUGUCACUGGGAAAGGACACCGCAAGAUUGAACCCAAGCUAAGCACUUCUCCCAUCGCAAGAAAGAUCAAUCUAGUAGGCCAAACCAAACUGAUAAUUCGAAGAGACUUGCAAAGAUAACCAAUCAUACAUAAAAGAAUUCAGACAAGAUUCAAAUAUUGUUCAUAGAUAAACUUGAUCAUAAACCCACAAUUCAUCGGUCUCAACAAACACACCGCAAAAGAAGAUUACAUCGAAUAGAUCUCCACAAGAGAGGCGGAGAACAUUGUAUUGAGAUCCAAAAAGAGAGAGGAAGCCAUCUAGCUAAUAACUAUGGACCCGAAGGUCUGAGGUAAACUACUCACACAUCAUCGGAGAGGCUAUGGUGUUGAUGUAGAAGCCCUCCAUGAUCGAUGCCCCCUCCGGCGGAGCUCCGGAAAAGGCCCCAAGAUGGGAUCUCACGGGUACAGAAGGUUGCGGCGAUGGAAUUAGGUUUUUGGCUCCGUAUCUGGUAGUUUGGGGGUACGUAGGUAUAUAUAGGAGGAAGAAGUACGUCGGUGGAGCAACGUGGGCCCCACGAGGGCGCGCCCCCCUACCUCGUGCCUUCCUGGUAGAUUUCUUGACGUAGGGAACAAGUCCUCUAGAUAACGUUCGUUCCCAAAAUCACGUUUCCGAAGGUUUCAUUCCGUUUGGACUCGGUUUGAUAUUCUUUUUCUGUGAAACUCUGAACUAGGCAAAAAACAGCAAUUCUGGGGUGGGCCUCCGAUUAAUAGGUUAGUCCCAAAAAUAAUAUAAAAGUGUAUAAUAAAGCCCAUUAAUGUCUAAAACAGAAUAUAAUAUAGCAUGGAACAAUAAAAAAUUAUAUAUACGUUGGAGACGUAUCAAGCAUCCCCAAGCUUAAUUCUUGCUCGUCCUCGAGUAGGUAAAUGAUAAAAACAGAAUUUUUAAUGUGGAAUGCUACUUGGCAUAAUUUCAAUGUAAUUCUCUUAAUUGUGGUAUGAAUAUUCAGACCCGAAAGAUUCAAGACAAAAGUUUAAUAUUGACAUAAAAAUAAUAAUACUUCAAGCAUACUAACUAAGCAAUUAUGUCUUCUCAAAAUAACAUGGCCAAAGAAAGUUAUCCCUACAAAAUCAUAUAGUCUAGCUAUGCUCUAUCUUCACCACACAAAGUAUUUAAAUUAUGCACAACCCGGAUGACAAGCCAAGCAAUUGUUUCAUACUUUUGAUGUUCUCAAACUUUUUCAAUCUUCACGCAAUACAUGAGCAUGAGCCAUGGACAUAGCACUAUAUGUGGAAUAGAAUGGUGGUUGUGGAGAAGACAAAAAAGGAGAAGAUAGUCUCACAUCAACUAGGCGUAUCAACGGGCUAUGGAGAUGCCCAUUAAUAGAUAUCAAUGUGAGUGAGUAGGAAUUGCCAUGCAACGGAUGCACUAGAGCUAUAAGUAUAUGAAAGCUCAACAAAAGGAACUAAGUGGGUGUGCAUCCAACUCGCUUGCUCAUGAAGACCUAGGGCAUUUUGAGGAAGCCCAUCAUUGGAAUAUACAAGCCAAGUUCUAUAAUGAAAAUUUGCCACUAGUACAUGAAAGUGAUAUCAUAGGAGACUCUCUAUCAUGAAGAUCAUGGUGCUACUUUGAAGAACAAGUGUGGUAAAAGGAUAGUAACAUUGUCCCUUCUCUCUUUUUCUCUCAUUUUUUUAUUUGGGUCUUUUAUCCUUUUUUAUGGCCUCUUUUUUUUAGUCCGAAGUCUCAUCCCGACUUGUUGGGGAAUCAUAGUCUCCAUCAUCCUUUCCUCACUUGGGACAAUGCUCUAAAAAAUGAUGAUCAUCACACUUUUAUUUACUUACAACUCAACAAUUACAACUCAAUACUUAGAACAAAAUAUGACUCCAUGUGAAUGCCUCCGGCGGUAUACCGUGAUAUGCAAUGAAUCAAGAGUGACAUGUAUGAAAGAAUUAUGAACGGUGGCUUUGCCACGAAUACAAUGUCAACUACAUGAUCAUGGAAAGCAAUAUGACAAUGAUGGAGUGUGUCAUAAUAAACUGAACGGUGGUAAGUUGCAUGGCAAUAUAUCUCGGAAUGGCUAUGGAAAUCCUAUGGUAGGUAGGUAUGGUGGCUGUUUUGAGGAAGGUAUAUGGUGGGUGUAUGAUACCGGCGAAAAGUGCGCGGUAUUAGAGAGGCUAGCAAUGGUGGAAGGAAGAAAGUGCGUAUAAUCCAUGGACUCAACAUUAGCCAUAAAGAACUCAUAUACUUAUUGCAAAAAUCUACAAGUUAUCGAAGCAAAGUAUUACCCGCAUCAUCCUAGGGGGAUAGAUUGGUAUGAAAAGACCAUCGCUCAUCCCAGACCGCCACUCAUAAGGAAGACAAUCAAUAAAUAAAUCAUGCUCCGACUUCAUCACAUAACGGUUCACCAUACGCGCAUGCUAAGGGAAUCACAAACUUUAACACAAAUAUUUCGCAAAUUCAAAACUACUCAACUAGCAUGACUCUAAUAUCACCAUCUCCAUAUCUCAAAACAAUUAUCAAGUAUCAAACUUCUCAUAGUAUUCAACACACUCAUAAGAUUUUUUUACUAAUCUUGAGUGCCUAUCAUAAUUAAAGCAAAUUACCACGCUGUUUUGUAGGACUAUCAAAAUAAUCUAAGUGAAUCAUGAGAGAACAAUAGUUUCUAUAAAACAAAACCACCACCGUGCUCUAAAAGACAUACGUGAAGCACUAGAGCAAAAACUAUAUAGCUCAAAAGAUAUAAGUGAAGCACAUAGAGUAUUCUAACAAUUUCCGAAUCAUGUGUGUCUCUCUCAAAAGGUGUGUACUGCAAGGAUUAUUGUGGCAAACUAACAAAUAAAUACUUCAAAUAAUACAAGACGCUCCAAGAAAAACACAUAUCAUGUGGUGAAUAAAAAUAUAGCUCCAAGUAAAGUUACCGAUGGAAGUAGACGAAAGAGGGGAUGCCUUCCGGGGCAUCCCCAAGCUUUGGCUUUUAGGUGUCCUUAGAUUAACUUGGGGUGCCAUGGGCAUCCCCAAGCUUAGGCUCUUGCCACUCCUUGUUUCAUAAUCCAUCAAAUCUUUCACCCAAAACUUGAAAACUUCACAACACAAAACUCAGCAGAAAAUCUCGUGAGCUCCGUUAGCAAAAGAAAACAAAACACCACUUCAAGGUACUGUAAUGAACUCAUUCUUUAUUUAUAUUGGUGUUAAACCUACUGUAUUCCAACUUCUCUAUGGUUUAUAAACUAUUUUACUAGCCAUAGAUUCAUCAAAAUAAGCAAACAACACACGAAAAACAUAAUCUGUCAAAAACAGAACAGUCUGUAGUAAUCUGUAACUAACGCAAUUUUCUGGGACACCAAAAAUUGACCCAAAAUAGGAAGACCUAGACAAUUUUUUUAUUGAUCAGCAGCAAUUGGGAUCAAUAUUUUAUCACGUCCUGGUGAUUUUUAACAAUUAUUUUCGUGAACAGAAAGUUUCUAGAAUUUUCAGCAAGAUCAAAUAACUAUCAUCCAAGAAGAUCCUAUAGGUUAAACUUGGCACAAACACUAAUUAAAACAUAAAAACACAUGUAACCAGAGGCUAGAUCAAAUAUUUAUUCCUAAACAAAAGAAAAAAUCAUAAAAAACUAAAAAUAAAAUUGGGUUGCCUCCCAACAAGCGCUAUCGUUUAAUGCCCCUAGCUAGGCAUAAUAGCAAUGAUAGAUCUAGGUAUUGCCAUCUUUGGUAGGCAAUCCAUAAGUGGCUCUCAUAAUAGAUUCAUAAGGUAAUUUUAUUUUCUUUCUAGGGAAGUGUUCCAUGCCUUUCCUUAAUGGAAAUUGGAAUCUAAUAUUCCCUUCCUUCGUAUCAAUAAUUGCACCAAUCGUUCUAAGGAACGGUCUACCAAGAAUAAUAGGACAUGAAGGAUUGCAAUCUAUAUCAAGAACAAUAAAAUCUACUGGCACAUAAUUCCUAUUUGCAACAAUAAGAACAUCAUCAAUUCUUCCCAUAGGUUUCUUAAUGGUGGAAUCCGCAAGGUGCAAGUUUAAAGAGCAAUCAUCAAAAUCACGGAAACCUAGCAAAUCGCAUAGAAUCUUUGGAAUCGUGGAAACACUAGCACCCAAAUCACACAAAGCAUAGCAUUCAUGAUCUUUAAUUUUAAUUUUAAUAGUAGGUUCCCACUCAUCAUAAAGUUUUCUAGGGAUAGAAACUUCCAACUCAAGUUUUUCUUCAUAAGAUUGCAUCAAAGCAUCAACGAUAUGUUUAGUAAGGCUUUAUUUUGACUAUAAGCAUGUGGAGAAUUUAGCACGGAUUGCAACAAGGAAAUACAAUCUAUCAAAGAGCAAUUAUCAUAAUUAAAUUCCUUGAAAUCCAAAAUAGUGGGUUCAUUAAUAUCUAGAGUUUUGAUUUCUUCAAUCCCACUUUUACCAUUUUUUGCAUCAAGAUCUAAAAACUCCGAAUUUUUGGAACGCCUUCUAGGUAGAGGUGGAUUAUAUUCAGUCCCAUCAUUAUCAAGAUUCAUAUUGCAAAACAAAGAUUUAAUAGGGGACACAUCAAUAACUUUUAGAUCUUCAUCUUUAUUUUCAUAGAAACUAGAAGAACACGCUUUCACAAAACAAUCUUUCUUAGCACGCAUCCUAGCGGUUCUUUCUUUGCACUCAUCAAUGGAAAUUCUCAUGGCCUUGAGAGACUCAUUGAUAUCAUGCUUAGGAGAAAUUCUAUCAGCGUUCCUAGCCAAUUCAUCAACUUUAAGCAAUUUUUCUUCAAGCAAAGCAUUGAAAUUGUUUUGCGAAUUCAUAAAUUCUUUAACACUAGUCUCAAAUUCAGAAGGCAUCUUAUUAAAAUUUCCAUAAUAAUUGUUGUAGGAAUUACCAUAAUUAUUAGAGGAAUUACUAGGAUACGGCCUUGGAUUAAAGUUUCCUCUAUACGCGUUGUUACCAAAAUUAUUCCGACCAACAAAAUUCACAUCCAUAGAUUCAUUAUUAUUCUCAAUCAAAGUAGACAAAGGCAUAUCAUUAGGAUCAGAAGAAACACUUUUAUUAGCAAAUAAUUUCAUAAGUUCAUCCAUCUUUCCACUCAAAACAUUAAUUUCUUCUAUCAUGCACUUUUUAUUAGUGGUUUUUUCGGUGUGCCAUUGAGAAUAAUUAACCAUAAUAUUAUCUAGGAGUUUAGUAGCUUCUCCUAAAGUGAUUUCCAUAAAAGUGCCUCCCGCGGCCGAAUCUAAAAGAUUUCUAGAAGAAAAAUUCAAUCCGGCAUAAAUUUUUUGUAUAAUCAUCCACAAAUUCAAACCAUGAAUAGGGCAAUUACGUAUCAUUAAUUUCAUCCUCUCGCAAGCUUGUGCAACAUGUUCAUGAUCAAGUUGCUUAAAAUUCAUAAUAUCGUUUCUAAGAGAGAUGAUCUUAGCGGGAGGAAAAUACUUAGAGAUAAAAGCAUCUUUGCACUUAUUUCAAGAAUCACUACUAUUUUUAGGCAAAGACAAAAACCAAGCUUUAGCACGAUCUCUAAGCGAAAAAGGAAAUAGCUUCAAUUUAACAAUAUCAUUGUCCACAUCUUUCUUCUUUUGCAUAUCACACAAAUCAACGAAGUUGCCAUGUCUAGGAAUGCUUGAAGCUUCAAAGAUUUCCUAUAAUACAACAUGCCUCUAACUAUUCACAAUAAGAAAAACAUGUAAAUGCGGAAUCAACCAAAUGUUGGUAAAUUGUAGUUGAUUUUGGCCAAGCAAACGUCAGAUGAAAGAAACAUACAUGAGUGAACAUCACGAUUGGAUGUUUUAUUCAAAUUUAACAGGUUAAACUCACCAAAUCCAUCUGGAUAUUUAGUAUUAAACUUCAACAGAUGGUGAGUUGUAGCUAGAUUCACAACACUGAAGCAAAAUUCCAUCUGCCACGGUUACAUCACACCAUCUUUUCAUCGUUACUAUUUAAAUUCCAAAUGCCUGCAACUCAUUUUUUUGUUACGAUGUAUGCAUGAUUUUUAACUCAAGAGGAAGAGGGGAAACUAAAUCCAAGAAAAGAACACCAAGGAAGCAUCCAAAAUAGAGAAAGGAAAAAUCCAAAAUAGAGGCAGAAUCGAAGGGAAGAAACCCCAUAAAAAAUAGGAGAUCAAACGGUGAAAAAAAUCUAAGAGUCAAACAAUUCCAGGUAAGACCAAAUCGACGACAAAAUAGCACAAGAGGGACUCACAUUAACAGGUAUACCAAUUCAGAAAGAAGUGUAAAGCGAACAGUGCAAUGGACCACUAGUAUAAAUUGGCUGUACACAAACAUGGGACUUAAACAGGAACUGCGAGAUGCAGGGUUCACGUGCAAACCCAAAAAACGGAAAACUGAAACGCACAACAAGAUUUUAUCUUCAUAUAUAUAUAUUAUGAGCUAUUGGCUUUUUAGUCAGGUAAAUAUCAUUCUUAAGACUACGGAAAACAGCAGGCGGCGAAGAAAACAUCUAUUGAUGAGAACUAUACACAUACUUAAGAAGGAAGUGACAUCUAUGGUAGCAGAACAUAUAUCAAGCUGUUGCAGCUACAUUAGCAGUUUAGCACAGUUCCUCCAUAAUACACAGGCUAGUGUAAUUUCACAAAUACAAUAAGCUAACAAUAUAUAUUUGGUAGAUGGAAAUGGCUGGAUCAUGACCAAUAUACCAUUACACAUCCGAUGAUGCAAAUAAACCACAAUAGAACAUGUAUUUGGCGAAACCUCCAUACUGCAAUAUCAAACAUGAAUUGAAAUUAACAAUCUAGCAAAAAAACAUGACAGAUGCAGUCUUGGUCAUUUUUCCUUUUGUGACAUCCCCUAAAAAAAGUAAAAACAAUGUUGUUCGUAUUUUACCAGAGAUACACUGAGCUGGGACAAAUUGGUCUGAAAUAAAAUAUGAUGGCUUCGGAGGAUUCGGAAGGGAAGAAAUUUGCUUUCUUCCAACAUAUAUGGUCUGCUGAACUAAACUUCGUUUCAGCGGGCUUUGCCAAAAAUCUGUAACUGCAAACAUCAACUUGUGUGCCCUUCCUACGUCAAACUUUAAACCUGAGCUCAGUGUACUUUAUGAGUGUUAAGUGUACUUUCUAAAUAGCAGAGAAACCAUAACAUCUAAGCACAACCCAGCAACUUGUACAAGCUAACAUCAAAUCUGAAAGAAGAAAUGUCGAGAACAGGUGAAGGUACCAUGAUCCACGACUGAGCAAAGUUAUCUAUUAUCCUCGGUGAAUAUCAUAAAUUAGGAUCAACUACGCUGAAGAACAAACGGGAAAGGAACCUAGAAAGAUCUUUUGCCGGUAGAAUAUAACUGAUACACUAUCCUCAUUCUCGAGAUCAAGGUCGUUUCUUGAAUUGCAGUUUCCUCACUGUAGUAUGGGGUCAUUACACUGCGAAGAACAAAGUGUCAUAUGAAUCAUUUAGAGCCCAAUCUUUUUCACUGAAACUCUUAUGAUCACAUAACGAAUUUAAACAUAAGGUUUAUUAGAUAUUUGUUGUUGUGAAUAGAUAAUAUAUUUCUGGUGUUGACAAUGUUUUGAUUAUGGAUGCACUUCAAGAUGGGUGGCACAGAUUCUGUUGUACAGGCCUCCACCUGGAAUUUCAUCACUUGUUAUUUUUGUUUUAGAAUGUCUAGGUGCAUUUUUCCUUUAAGGUGGAAACAGAUGUACUUGUAUAAGCAACAAGAAUACAAAGCGCCACUGCCAUACAUUGUGGAAGUUCAGUGCUUCUGUUUACAAAAUCUGCUUCCCAAAACAGAAGGUUUAUAAUUUUUUAUUACAAUCAAGCGGACAUGAGCUGAUGAGUACAGAUGUAGACAUGUACUGAGAGCAGCACCCUUUCAAAAGUGGAUCAUUUACAUGUUGGAUAGUUUGAUGGUCUGAAAUUAAUGGUCGUGUUUCAGAAUUGUUAUCGAAUAGUAGGGGAUAUAUAUUAACUUCUGAAAUUAGUGGCUGUUUGUCAGAACUGUUAUCGAAUAGUAGGGCACAUAUAUUAACUUCAAUAAGUGGACUAAUAUCUUUGGAUUCGCUGUGAGGAAAGAUUACCAAAACAAAACAGAAGUGAGUGCGACGACCCAGAUGAGGGCGCUCUUGAGCCUCUUCCCGACCGACCUAGAUGCAGGAGCAGAACACGGCGGAUCUAAUCAGCCAACCAAUAAAGCCGAGGAAGUAAGGGAGGAAGAAGACUGACUUGUCCUGGUCGCCCUCGUAGUUAGAACAUGGCGAACAGGAUGACGAGGAAGACGAGGACAGCGUCGAGGAUGUAGACGACGAGCCAGAGCAUGUUCAUGGGCAGGAUCAAGCAUGGGCAGGAUAAGGGCGCAGGCCCCGUUGUAGGCGGCGUGCUUGCAGGCCUGGCGGUUGGCGACGUCGGCGGGGAGCAUGAGGAUGGAGAGGACGGCGACGGUGAUGCCGAGCACGAUGACGAGCUUGAGGAAGUAGGCCUGGUUGGCAUCAUCCGGGUGCUGGUAGUUGACGAGCAGGCAGACGCUGACGAGGAGCACCAGGAUGCUGACCACCGCCGCCACGAUCACUAGCGCCACGUUAAAAAACCCAUAUCCUCGGGGCUCCGGUCCCGGUUCCGGCCCGCCGCCUCGCCCCCGUUGGUCGGUCAGAUCUCUCUGUCCCUAGAGGCGGGGGAUACAGGCUAGGGUUUGGGCGUGGGCGGGGAAUAGGCUGCUAUGGUGCCGGCAGCGGGGCGUGGAGGAGAGAAGGAUUAGGAGGAAUAAUUCACCACACUUUGAUUAACCUCUCGGCUGGGUCUUAUGUACAGAUUACAGGGCCAGCCAGGGAGAUCAUGAGGUGAUCCACUACCUGGGAUCGUGCGCCACGAUCACUACAUGCGUGCGCCACGAUCAUAUACACACACGCUACACCUAGUGUCUACGCAACUACGGUAUAGCAGUACGGUACAGUCUAACACCCCCCCCCCCCCGCAGUCGUGACGUCGUCGGCGGCGACGCAAAGACUGGACCGGAACUCAGAGAAAACAUCCGAUGGCAGGCCUUUGGUCAUGAUGUCCGCGAGUUGUUGGCGCGUGGGGAUGUGAAGAACACGGAAGUGGCCGAGGGCGACGCGCGCCCGCACGAAAUGGAUGUCCAGCUCCACAUGCUUAGUGCGGCGAUGAUGCAUCGGAUUGGCUGACAGGUAGACUGCGGACACAUUGUCACAGUACACCAGUGCUGCCUUGGUCACUGGAGCGGAGAGCUCGCCGAGAAGCUGGCGGAGCCAGAUGCAUUCAGCGACCGCGUUGGCGACGCCGCGGUAUUCAGCUUCGGCGCUGGAGCGCGAUACGGUCGCCUGGCGCUUGGAGGACCAGGAGACGAGAGCAUCGCCGAGGAAGACGCAGAAGCUCGACGUGGAGCGUCGGGUGUCGGGGCAGCCGGCCCAGUCCGCGUCGGUGAACGCAAGGACGUCGAGCGUGGUCGAGGCGUGAAGAUGAAGCCCGAGUGCGCAGGUGCCCUUCACGUACCGGAGCACGCGCUUGACGAGCGCGAGGUGGCAUUCGCGCGGGUCAUGCAUGUGCAAGCAGAUUUGCUGGACGGCGUAGGCGAUCUCUGGACGCGUGAUGGUGAGGUACUGCAGGGCCCCGGCGAUGCUCCGAUAGGCCGAGGGGUCGUCGACGCAGGGCCCAUCGGCUGAGAGGAGUUUGCUCUUCGUGUCGAUGAGUGUCGGGGAAGGGCGGCAGGUGUCCAUGCCGGCGCGUUCCAGGAGUUCGUCGGCAUAUUGUUGUUGCGACAGGAAGAAGCCAGCUCGGGUGCGGGUGACGCGGAUGCCGAGGAAGAAGGCGAGCGAGCCCAGGUCCUUCAUGGCGAAUUCGCCUGUGAGGCGCUGGAUGACAUGGUGAAGCACGCGUGACGAGGACGCGGUGAGCACGAUGUCGUGGAUGUAGAUGAGGAGGAACGCCAUGUCGUUGCCGUGCCGGAAGGUGAACAGCGACGAGUCCGAACGCGUAGCUGCGAAGCCAAUGGAGCGGACGAAGCCGGCGAAGCGGAGGAACCAGGCACGGGGCGCCUGCUUGAGCCCGUACAAGGACUUGGAGAGGCGGCAGACGUGCUCUGGUUUGUCGGGGUCGACGAAUCCGGCGGGCUGGAGGCAGUAGACUUCCUCCUCCAAGUUGCCGUGGAGGAAGGCGUUGGAGACGUCGAGGUGGUGCACCGGCCAGCCGCGCGACGCGGCCAUAGUGAGCACAGUGUGGAUCGUCGCUGGCUUGACGACGGGGGAGAACGUCUCGCCGUAGUCGACGCCGGCACGCUGAUGAAAGCCCCGCACGACCCAGCGUGCUUGCUAGCGGGCCAGCGCACCGUCGGCGUCGUUUUUGUGCUUGAAGAUCCACUUCCCUGUGAUCAGGUUGGCGCCGGGGGGGCGGGGCACCAGCUCCCAUGUGCGAUUGCGCACGAGCGCAUCGUACUCAGCACGCAUGGCACCGAGCCAGUUCGGGUCGUGAACAGCAGCGCGAACCGAACGCGGCACCGGCGACACCGAUGAUGAGGUAGAGGCGGUGGCCGCGUCGUAGUAGCGCGGGUUGGGGCGGAAGAUGCCGCGCUGGGCACGCAUGACCAUGGGCACAGGAGGCGCCGGUGCGCGGGGCGCCGUUGGUCGCGCGCUCGGAGACGAGCUGUCGGAGGAGCCACUGGCGGAGUUGUCGGAGGAGCCGCUGGCGGAGGCGAAGACAGGCGGACCUGGCGCGGAUGGGCACGUCGAGGACGGAGCAGAGCCGCCAUCGGAAGCGCCCGCAGCGCACCGCGAGCUAACGCGGCGCGCCCCGCUGGUUGGCGAUGAUGAGCGGGGCAGGCUGGUGAUGGAGAUCGGGCGCGCCGGCAGGACGGGUGACAUGCUGCUGUCAGGCACCGGUGGAAGCGCAGGCAGCGCAGGAGGCCGGACGGCGAGCGGGAUCUGCAGGGUAGAGGGUACGACGGGUGGCGUAGGCGACGGGGAAGAGGAUGCGAACGGGAAAACGUGGUCGUGGAAGAGAACGUGGCGAGACGUGAGGACACAGCGAGAGGUGAGGUCAAAGCAGCGAAAACCACGAUGAUCGGGAGGGUACCCGAGGAAGACGCAGGCGAUAGAACGUGGCUCGAGCUUAUGGCGGGUGGUGGCGGUGACGUUCGGAUAGAUGCGGAGUAAUUUGUGCGACGCCGAGCAGGAGUUCAUGCGGAGUGCAGGGCGCCGAGGCGCGGCAGGGCCGAUGAUUGAGCAGGUAGGUCGAGGUGUUGAGAGCCUCUGCCCAGAAGCGAGCGGGCAUGUGCGCAUGACAGAGAAGCACACGAACGCCGUCGUUGAUCGUGCGGAGAACUCGCUCGUCCUUGCCGUUCUGCUGACUGGUGUAUGGGCAGGUGAGACGGAAGUGUGUGCCGUGGCGAGCAAGCAGAGAGCGCACAGCUGCGCUGUCGAAUUCACGACCAUUGCCCGUUUGCAGUGCAAGUAUGGGUAACUGAAACUGAGUCUGAACAUAGGCAAAGAAAUCAACAAGUAUGGGAAGAACUUCAGACAUGUGUUUCAGAGGGAAAGUCCAGACAUAGUGACUGAAAUCAUCUAGUACAACUAAGUAAAACUGAUAGCCGGAUAUGCUUACAACGGGAGCGGUCCAUACAUCAAGGUGUAAAAGCUGGAAAGGAAAGAAACUAGCAGUGGUGGAUGUCUGAAACGGGAGCCAGGUGUGUUUGCCAACACGACAGGCAUGACAGACAGGCGGAUCACGGCAGAACUCCAGGGACUGAUCGGCAGCAACGGUGCGGAGUGCGGCAGCCCCUGGGUGGCCGAGACGUUGAUGCCACAGGUCGGUCGUGGCGGCGCCGGCGAAGAUGCCCGGGGAAUGGACGGAUGGCCGCACCACGGGAUAGAGAUCGCCGUCGGAGUCACAUCGGAGAAUCACUACCCUGGUUCGUAGGUCCUUGACAGAGAAACCACGAGCGUCAAAUUCAACAGAAACGGGGUAGGAACGACAAAGCUGCCGAACUGAAAGUAGGUUUUUGACGAGAGAUGGAGAGACGAGAACGUUGCGGAGAGGAAUGGGGGAAGUGCUGGUGAUCAGCGCGCCCGUGCCAACGUGGGUGAUGGGCAGGCGGUCACCACUGCCCACGAUGAUAGAUGCAGUAGUAGAGGACGGGCGAGUGGAGAGGAGAUUACCAGGGGAGGACGUCAUGUGCGCCGCGGCGCCGGAGUCGAGGUACCACUCCGGUGCGCUGCCAGAGGAGGAAGGGCUGGCCGAGGCGCUGUGGAGGGCGGCCUGGAGCGAGGCCAUGUCCCAUGGCUGGUGGGUUGCAGUCGACGAGCUGGCGCCGGGGUGCCCGUAGCCUGACAGGACGUCGGAGACGGGUGGAGUGACGCCGUAGCCGGGGAGGGUAGCGCCGUAGCCGUAUGGUGCAGCCGGCGACGGGGCGGCGAACAUGGCCUGCUGGUACGGCGUACCAGGGCGGGGGCCGAGCACUUCAGCUCCAGCCGCGCGCCAAGGCAUCGGCCAAGCCUGGACCAUGCCGGUCCAUGCGUUUGUACCGGGUGCAGGCGUGGGGUACGCUGGGGGAGGGCGGGGAGCCUGGGAGGACGGCGUGGGCGGGCCACCAAUGCCGUUGCCACGUCUGGGGCGGCGUCCGCGCCCACGCCCUUGGUUGGUGUUGCUGGGCGGGGGUGUGGGUGGUGUAGGAGAGCCGCCACGCCCGGCGACGAGAGCGUGCGCAGACUGCUGGCGAGUGGUCGACUGCUCUGCUCGGUGUUCCUCAAGCAGGACGAAGGAGCGCACCUGCAGGAACGACGGGAGCGGGACCUGCGAGGUGAUGUGAGGGAUGGCGGAGUGGAACUGCCGGUUCAGACCGCGGAGCAGGUUGAAGACCUGCCGCGAGUCGGUUACCGGCUGCCCGAGGUGGCGGAGUUGAUCCGUGAACGACUUCAUCUUGGUGCAGUACACCAUGAUCGACAUGUCGCCCUGAACGAUAGCGUGGUACUCGGCGUCGAGGUAGACAGCGCGAGCGAGGUGGUUGUCGCGGAAGAUUCCAUCGACCGCAGUCCAGACGGCCAGAGCAGUGUCGUCCGGCUGCAUGACGGCGUCGAGCAGGUCCGGCGAUAUGGUGGUGUAGAACCAGUGGACGACGACGUGAUCAGCCAUGCCCCACUCGGGAUCAUCGUGGCGGUGGAUGGCCGUGGCGCCGAACAUGCCGAUGACGGUGUCGAAGUGGCGGCGCCACUGCGUGUAGUUGCCGGCGAGAAGGUCGAGGGUGACCGGGACAUGACGACGGAUGUCCACGGUCUGCAGGAUCGCGGAGGCGACAGGUGCUGUAGCAGGAGGAGGAGGGAUGACGGGCACCGCGGGCGCGACAGGUGCUGGAGCCGGCGGUGCCUUGGCCAGGGGGACAGCGUUAAGGACGCCGUCGGCGCCGUGCUGCGAGGAGCGAGGGGACACGAUGGGGUUGUCAUCCAUGGCGGCGGAAGCGGGACUGGCGACCUGCGCGAAGGGAUUGAGCAGGUCGGGGGAAUCUGGUACCAUAGAGGAGAGAAGGAUUAGGAGGAAUAAUUCACCACACUUUGAUUAAGCUCUCGGUUGGGUCUUAUGUAUAGAUUACAGGGCCAGGGAGAUCACGGGGUGAUCCACUACCUGGGAUCGUGCGCCAGGAUCACUAUAUGCGUGCGCCACGAUUAUAUACACACAUGCUACAACUAGUGUCUACGCAACUACGGUAUAGCAGUACAAUACAGUCUAACAGGGCAGCCACCGGCGGGGAGGGCGGGAUCCACGCGGGGUGGCGGGAUUUGGGCAGGCGGUGGGCUCGGGGGAGGGCGGUGGCAGCGAAGCAGCAAGGAGGGGCUGGAGGAGAUGAAACGAAAGAGGUCGCGUGACACAGCGACAGCGUUGUCCAAUCCCCGCGCUGCCGAUUUAAAAAAAAGGUAAUGAUAACUCCCGAACGUUCGGGAGUUAAGCAUGGAAACCCGAACGGGUUUAGAUGGCAAGUUUAGUUUGCGUGAGAUUAGGAAAACAUGGCAAUUUUCUGACAAAAGAAAUGAAAAAGGAUGAAGUUGCCAUCCCUAUCAACUAAAGUUGCCAUCCCCUAUGAACUAAAGUUGCCAUGUAAAAACGUUCGGGACGAAAUGCUCAAAAUCCGAACGUUCGGAAGUUACUGGAUUCAAAAAAAUCCCCUUGCUGCCAAUCGCUGGUCCGUUUCUUUUUUCGCCCAAUCGCUAGGUGAUGACGUGGCUAUCGCGGGAAGGCGCCCUUGAUGCGUAGUCGAAUGGUUUUAAUUAAUAGGAAGCGAGUGCUUACUCUAGUUACUGAAUUAUGUACACCAAAUAAAGCCAUUUACACGUAGUUAAUGACAAAAAAAGUUGAUGUUUGCUACGCAAAUGUGUAGUACAAAUUAAGAAGUGCAAGAUAAAAAAAAAUGCUGGUCCUUGAUUCGUUGUUGAUCGUCAGCAUGCCAUCAUCAAUUUGUAGUUAAUUAUCAUACAAAUUGGCUCUUUCAUAGAGUUGGAGACUAGCUCCUUUGAUCAGCACGCGCUUAAACACAAACAGCACGUAUAUGUUUUGUCUCCGGAGUUCAAUUCUUCAUCGGCCAGUAAAAAUGGCCCGACCAGGUAGAGGAAAAGGCAUGUUUGUUAGUACGCCUGGAGGAAAUGCCUUUGAUUAGGGCAUCUUCAACAGCGACCAGUAAAUUUCCUCCCGCGUUCGUCCACGGAUAGGGGAUCAGUCCGCGGAUACGAAUACAGGAAUCAUCCAUCCAACGCUGUCCGCGUAUAUUUCAAACACAUUUUUUUUAAAAAUAGGAUGAAAUUCAUGCAAACACAAUGGAUUUCAUACAAACCGGACAAAAAUGUUUACAUUUUGGACAUUUUUUUUUACUAAAAACUCUACAGCCGGCGCCGGCGAAUAUCCACUCCGGCGACAUGGAUACCCUUGACUAGUCUACUGCCGGCCGCAGCGGAUCUCCGAUGUCGUCCCCAUGUCCGGCAGCUAUGAGCCCUAGAGGUAUAUGCUUCAGCGCAAAGAGCGGCUCGCCUCCCUACCGCUCAUCGGAGUGGAACAACCAGCUGAUGCUUCUGCCGAUGGAAAGGGUCCCUACGCUACACGGAUUAGAGUUGGUUUUGGGCUGGGAACGGCGGUGGCCUGCCAGAGGGCAAGACACCGACUGUGUAUGCUGGUGUCACCUGGUGUGGCAUUCGUGGGACCCAAGCGGCAGCGCCUCCUCGAUGAUGGCGGCGAGCGCGGACGUGUUGGACACCACCUCGUCGAUGUCCGUGCAGCCCGCUUCUUUCUCUAUAGGAAGGACGCGGUUACGCUCGCGUUGACAUCGGAUGACUCGGUCACAUGCACGGGAGGGGCGGUACGACAUGGCAUCGCCAAUGGCAGCCAUGAUGCCCGCGCCACCGUGCUCCCUCCCAGUGCCGACCUGGAGCAACUUGCCACUCCUCGGCUCGUGACCGGUGGGCUUGACGGGCCACCUAGCCAUUUUUUAUGCCAGACAACUCUUCUUCCUGCUCGUCAGAUGUCAUGGAUAAAACUGUUUAAGGAGGAAAAUGAUGAGUGGACGUGUGAUGCGGUUCUUGCCCAACAUCUGACAUUGUUUAAAUAGUGAGGGGACACGAGAGGAGCCAACCGGCGUUCUGUUUAAUGCCAACCGGCUCGCGAACGAACAUGUGGCCGGAGUAAUUAUCCUGGCACACACGAGGGUUUUAUGGUGGAAGGCGGGCAGUCUGCAGGAAUGAGGCGAGGAUGUGUGCUUAGCCGGCGUGCAGCAGGCGGUGCCCUCGGCCGGCGUGCUGCUUCCAUUGCGGAGGCAGUGAAAGGUCGCGUCCGCUCUGCAGCGCAUGAAUGCGGGCAGCUGGCGCAGAGCGGGAACGCGUGUGGGCGAGGGAGGAGGGGGUUUGGGCGGGUGGUCAGAAGAGGUCGUGGGUGUUGUCCGAACGCCUGCAAAGCCCCCCUCCAUGUUUGUCUCCAGUUUGCGGGAGAAAGUACGUCCGGACCGUCUCCAAUGGACCAAUACAGGCCCGCAUUGGAUGGCACAACACGUCCGGACGAUGUGGUCCGGAUGGUUGUGGACAGUUUAAUUGAGGGUCGGCGUUGGAGAUGCCUUAGAGUUUAUGAAUCCAUUGUGUUUUUCUAAUCAUAAAAAAGCACUUACAAUAAGUUAUAAGGAAAGACACGAUUAUAUGUUAGGUUCAGACUCCAGCUUUCGUUUUACAUAUGCUUUAUUCAUCCGACUGAUUCCAAUAGAGUGAGCCUAGCGUUGUUUUUCUGGAAACUCGCGGGAUAAGGAGACAUGCAUACACAUUCUUUCAAGCAAAUCACAUCCAUUUUUUUUAACUCAUUUUUCUUCUUUUAAUAAUAUAAUAGAUCAUUUAUAUUUUUUAUCUGAAACAGUUGACGUGUAAUUUAUAUUGUAAUCUGAGGAUAAUGUUUGGAUUUUACUUUCAAAUAUAUUUGAAAUGGCCAUGAUGGAAUCACAUCCAUUUAUUUUAUUAUUAUUUGAAUUUGAUCCAAAAGAUAAAUAAUGAGUAGAGGUCAUGUCAACUUUUCUGAGAACUUUGCUAAUCAAAAUAUAAAUUGUAUUUAAAAACAUCUAUUUUUUAGCACGCAUGAAAAACAUAACACGUAUCUUUUCACACAUAAUGAACGGUUGUCAUAAGAACUCAUGCCAUGCCACAACCUCCCUCCGACCCUGCCAACAUUGUUGCAGCUGCACUCGCAAGCCUUAGCGUAGAUGAUAAUUUAUACAAUUUGCGUAAAAACAAAAUAAGAUCUACAAAUGAAUAGAAGCUAGAACGUACAUUGGCAUGCACACACAUUGCAAGCCAUACUAAGCUGAUAAGUGUUAAUAACUUGUAUAACAUAUACAACACUUAACACAAGUAAAAGCAAUUUGAUGAGUCAUGGUCUAUCAAAGCCACAUUACUAGUCUAAUCCAUCUUAACAGGUCACACAUGAUUAAAAUCUUGUUUGUGUGCAAGUCAAGCUUAUCUAGUUUACAUGUAACAACUUGUAGAACAUUACAAAAUUUAUGUUUGCUAAUAACUUCUAGAACACUACAACACUUGACAUGUAAAAGGAAUUUGAUGAGUCAUGGCCUACUAAAGCAAGUUAUAUUACUAGUCUUAUCUACCUUAACAGGCCACACAAGAUUACAAACCAAGUUCUGUGCCAGCCAUGCUUAUCUAGUUUAUGCGUAACAAUUUGCAGAAAAUUACAAACUUAGUUUCAGAAAAAUAGGCAAUCUAGAUUAGUGUUUGAGCUGUAAAGUGAAUAAAAUGAGUCAUGCGUGUUAUCACACCUUUUUGGUUGUGGAAUGAUAGUGCAACAACAAGGAACUUUAAUGACCAGUUCAAGAAUACACUUGUAAGUAGUGCCACCGAACACAACAUACCAAAUUAUGAUUUUGAGAAGCAUCCAAGCACUUCCACACAAGCAAAUGCCAAUUGUGAAAGAGAUCAUGCCAUGGCAGCUAUAAAUAGGCCCGUAGCAUGACGAUCAUCCUUCCUCAUCCAUCAUUCUCAUAAGUAGAGCGCAUCAUUUAAGCCAAGCAAGCAGUGCUCAAUACAAAUCCACCAUGAAGACCUUUCUCAUCCUUGCACUCCUUGCUAUUGUAGCAACCACCGCCACAAUUGCAGUUAGAGUUCCAGUGCCACAAUUGCAGCCACAAAAUCCAUCUCAGCAACAACCACAAGAGCAAGUUCCAUUGGUACAACAACAACAAUUUCCAGGGCAGCAACAACCAUUUCCACCACAACAGCCAUAUCCGCAGCCGCAACCAUUUCCAUCACAACAACCAUAUCUGCAGCUGCAGCCAUUUCCGCAGCCGCAACUACCAUAUCCGCAGCCGCAUCUACCAUAUCCGCAGCCGCAACCAUUUCGACCACAACAACCAUAUCCACAACCGCAACCACAGUAUUCGCAACCACAACAACCAAUUUCGCAGCAGCAGCAACAACAACAACAACAACAACAACAACAGAUCCUUCAACAAAUUUUGCAACAACAACUGAUUCCAUGCAGGGAUGUUGUAUUGCAACAACACAGCAUAGCGCAUGGAAGCUCACAAGUUUUGCAACAAAGUACUUACCAGCUGGUGCAACAAUUGUGUUGUCAGCAGCUGUGGCAGAUCCCCGAGCAGUCGCGGUGCCAAGCCAUCCACAAUGUUGUUCAUGCUAUUAUUCUGCAUCAACAACAACAACAACAACAACAACAACAACAACAACAACCGUUGAGCCAGGUCUCCUUCCAACAGCCUCAACAACAAUAUCCAUCAGGCCAGGGCUCCUUCCAGCCAUCUCAGCAAAACCCACAGGCCCAGGGCUCUGUCCAGCCUCAACAACUGCCCCAGUUUGAGGAAAUAAGGAACCUAGCGCUAGAGACGCUACCUGCAAUGUGCAAUGUCUAUAUCCCUCCAUAUUGCACCAUUGCUCCAGUUGGCUUCUUCGGUACUAACUGAGAAGAGAAGAACUCUAGUAGUAGACAUAUGAUACACCGUUUUCUUAGUCCAUGGUUUGGUCGUUGUAGCGGUGAAAAAAUAAAGUGACAUGCAGUAUCAUGUAAGAACCCGAA